rnacentral:lncRNA from 1 species
AUUAGUUUGUGCCCCUUGGUCUUCAAGCAUCGUUCUUUUUUCUUGAUUCGAUUUUAACUUAUGCUAUAUUGUUAUUCCCCAGUUAUCUUCAAAUGGGUCGACGUGGGACGAGAUAGAUUUCGAGUUCUUGGGGAAUUUAAGUGGCGAUCCGUACAUUCUUCACACCAACGUGUUCAGCCAAGGCAAGGGCAACCGAGAGCAGCAAUUCUAUCUCUGGUUCGACCCAACUGCUGAUUUCCACACCUACUCCAUCCUCUGGAAUCCACAACGCAUCAUGUAAGAGUCUGAAAAGCUCAAAAUGCGACCUUACUUGCAUUUACAUUGCGCUACACUAUUCUCUGUAGCAUUUACUCAAAAACCGGUGUGUGCGACCAUUGCAGAUUCUCAGUGGACGGGACUCCCAUCAGAGAGUUCAAGAACGCAGAGUCGAUCGGCGUUCCUUUCCCCAAGGCCCAGCCCAUGAGGAUAUUCUCGAGCCUCUGGAACGCGGACGACUGGGCAACCAGAGGCGGGCUCGUGAAAACGGACUGGACACAAGCGCCCUUCACUGCUUCCUACAGCAACUUCAAUGCCGAUAACGCCUGCGUUUGGUCAUCUGGGUCGUCAUCUUGCACUUCAUCUUCAUCUUCUUCGGAUGGUAAUGCAUGGCUAUCAGAAGAGCUCGACUCAACAAGCCAAGAGAGCCUGAAGUGGGUGCAAAGCAACUACAUGAUCUACAACUACUGCACGGAUGCCAAAAGAUUCCCCCAAGGCUUCCCUCCCGAGUGCUCCAUGUCCUAGACGACACAAGACAUUGAUUUUGUAAAAAAUUCGCUGUUCUUUUUCUUCUUUUUCGAGCCAAUUCUAUUAAUUUGUUUUGUGGCCGAGAAGCAAUUGAUAUUUUUUUAUUCUUUGACGAUUGUAGCAUUCCUAUCUUUACUCAAUAAAACAGAAAAUCAUCUUGGAUUUCAUAGUAUUGCUGCGACUCAGUGAGUGGAUACAACACAGAACAAAAUUAAGGGAAUGAAAAUGGAUUUUACAGGCCAGCUCCUGCCUUGAAUAUGAAACUGAUGACACAAUUGAUUACGCCGUCGUAGCUCAGAAAAUUAGAUAAACGCUACGUUGAACAAGUUCUGUUUUUAUGUUGAAUUCAACUCCGAUGUCCUCAUCGAGGGACUGAUUUGGUCGACAUUUCUUCCUGGUCCUUGUGCUCCACAGAAGGAUCAAACAUAGAAAACCGAUCAUCACAAUACCAUCAUGACCAGACAAGCUUUCCAAAUCUGCAAACUCAAAGAACAUCCUUGACUCCAACACAGAAUCAACCAUGAUUUACGGCCGAUCAACCUCAAGUCAACCCAACUUAAAGAGCAAGGUGCCGCAAACUAGGAUCCAAAAAUCGUACUGUGUGCCUGCAACCCCUCCCGCAACUGACGGUACUCUUAGCUGAUUUCACAAACUCUAAUGUUAAAUAGCUUCGGGGACUCUAAUGGCAAUGCUGCACAACCGAACACUUGUAAGUGAGAUAUAACAGGAGUAGUAUCAUAAAGAACCUUCCGAGGAGACAAAUUGUCUAGAACAGGAGUUGGGAGAUCAAGUGAACUGCAGUCUCAAAAGCAAAUUCCCAGAGAUGACAAGGAAGAGCAGACUCAUCAUGAGACCAAGGCCAGUUUCCACUGUAUUGGCAAUGCUUGCAUUCAACGGUCCCAUUUUGAAAUAGAGAUUAUGCACAAUAAAUGCGCCAAUGAAUGCCAUGACUGAGAAGGUAAGAGUGCAUGGUAGAGGAUAAGAACUCGGGUGCUCCAUCACACUAAAUCAUCUAAAGCUUGCACUGAAGUUGAGUCUUCAUAAGGGCAUGAAAGGCUUUAAAAAUGUUGAAAAAUUGAUCUUGAGAUGCGAGGGGAUAAAGCCAAGUAAAUCAAUAAAAUUCAUCAAUAAAACAGCCGUAAUAUUUAUAAAACAGGAGGCAGACCCCAAACAUCAAAAUGAACUAGCUGAAGAGAGGAAGCCCUAGGUCUGUGUACGUCAAAUCACAUAAAUUGUUCCGUCUAGGCGUUCUCCGAAGGAUGGAGAAGAAAGGAGACCAGAGAUUGUGGCAGCAGGAGUUGUGGGUCUGGUGAUGGUUGUAGUGGAAGGCUGGGAUUGUUGUAAAGUUGUUUGUUCGGCAGAGGAGGAAUUUGCAGAGGAAUUUGAGUCACUCGUAUUUAGAUCGAUGGGCUUUUGCCUUUUUGAUACCAAGACAGAAAUAGAGAUGCAGAAAGAAAACAGAGAAUAUAGAAGACAUAAGAAAAGUGUGUGUGUAUAUAUAAAUAUAGAAAGAAUCUCUAGAGAUAGAUAUUGACAACAAAAUUUGUAACCACCAAUGAAGAUAAUAUUUGAAUCAAUCAAGGAUUACAUAUUAUGCGUAGAUUCUGAUUGUGUGGUGAUUCUGGUAACGUUAUCAAUCUCGGAUUGGAUAUCAUGCGAAUAUCUUGAUUAUACUGUGAGUCAUAUGCGAGCUAGAGAUAAUAUUUGAUUCUGGUGUGAGCUCGAAUAGUUAGCAGUGGAUUGCGUCAACAGAUAGCUUCAGAUAGAAUCUUCCUGAUAAUCACUCAAAUCCUAAGUUUGUCAUCCAUACAAAUUGCACAACCAAAGAAGCAUCGGCAUAAUGCUGCUGCAAAUUCAAGACGUCAAAGCAUAUAUAUAAGGCAAAACCUGAAGAUUACCUUCCUCCAACCAAACAAAGUCCAUUUCCAUCUUCUUUUCCCAGCUAAAAGAAUGCACCAAUCACCAGUAAAAGAAAACUCCUUGUACUUAUCCUUUCAAACCAUCCUUGCAAAUUGUCAAUAUGCGGAAUUUCUGAAAAAAGGUGAUAAUAAUCGACUCUUUUAAAUCAGAGAGAAAUAUAAGUUGAACAAAGAGACAGAACACGAAUACACGAAUAAUUUAAAGGAAAUAAAAAUUGAAUAGAGGGAAAGAUAAGAAAGGAUCUGAAACAGAGGAUUUCGGGUGCCUCUGCAGACAUUUGCUGCACGGAAUUCUCUUCAUGAUCUCAACUUGCAAUCUCCGUCAAAAAAUUUUGAUUGAACAAAUAAAGAGGUUAACCCGAGUGAAGUUAACAAAAAUUGAUUGACUUGAGCCAACGCAACAUUCGGCUGAACUUUUUUUACAUUUUAGAACCAAAAAAGCAUGCAUAAUCUGAACAAUUUUAAAUGUAAUUUAUUAUAUUCUCUCCAAAGAUUUGAGGUGUUGUAUGUUAAGUUGAGGUGAAAUAGCAAAGUUAAAUUUGAAAAGGUAAGAAAUGAGAAAAAUAAAAUAGAAUCGGAAUGUAUCUAGAUAGAACGCAUUCCCGAAUCGUACAUGUAGAAUAGUGGGAGGAGACAUGUGGGUUCUCAAAGAGUACGAGUUUUCAAUAUGUCCGCUCUUUGGUGUCGAAAGAGAACGGACUUUUGCUUUCCAUGAAAGUUUUUAGAUGCUUCUCCUAUAAUGUCUCUGCCUAAGAUACAUGAAGAUGAUAGUCGACGUGAUCUCUAAUGUAUGCAAAUUAUAGUGCACGGGAAGAAGGUACGUACCCCACCAUAUGAGAUCCACCGACAUUAGGUGAAGGAAAAGCAGCGACCGCUCAUGGUGAAGCAUGUAGCUGGUAGGGGUGAGCAGCGGUCUAGGGUCGACCCUGGACCGACCCUAGACCGGCCCAACCCUGCCGGUCUUGGUCCGGUUCCCAAGGGGACCGGGUCGGUCCUUGAUCCUGAAUUUCCAGAACCAACACUGUGCGGGUUGGUCCUCGAUCCUAAGAGUUUUUGGUCAGUCCAACCCUGGACCAACCCUGUAUAUUAUAUUAUAUUAUUUAUAAUUAUUUUAUAUAUUCAAACCUAAGUAAAAUGUCUGUUAUAUUAUAUUAUAUUAAGAUGUUAUAUCAAUAGAACUAAUAAUAAUUUCAAUUUAAAACUUUUGUUGAGUAUUAAUUAUGUGUCAUUUGUUUUGUUUUCAGGUAUUUAGAAGUUCAAGUGAAUUAACAAAAUGUGAAGUUAUAUAUUCAUGGUUUAUAUUAAGUAUUUUGAACUUUUUAUGGUUUAAUUGUAUUUUAUUAAUGAAUUUUAGCUGCACUUUAUUUUUCAAUUUGUGUCAAAUGGUAUAAAUUUUUUAAGAGUAGAGUAAUACUGCAGUUGCUACGGUGAUUUGCUAGUCAAGUGGUGUGAAGCUCAUUUUUUGGUUGAGUGGACUUUACAAUCAAAUGCAAGAAAACGCUUUUGCAUAUGGUGUUAUGAAUAUUAAAGAUAGAUGAUUACAAGAACUUUCCAUCUUGUCCCAUAUCUCGAUGAGCGGUUAAUAGCUACGGAAUUUCUAUUAUUGUGUCAUCUUAAAUUUACUAAAUAUGUAUUGGUAUUUAUAAUUUAGUUGCACAAUGCCGCAUUAUCGAUGGAUGUGUAAUUUGAAUUUGUAGGUUUACUUUUUUAAGGAGUAUAAAAAAUAAGACGAAAAAAAUUAUUGAUCGGUCUCGGGUUGACCCUGAAACCGGACCGAACCCAUUGGGUCGGUCCGGUCCUUGGUCCCAAGCUCAAUAGGGUCGGUUCUCGGUCCUAAAAAUUGAGGACCGACACUGUAUGGGUGGGUCCUAGGGUUAGGGGAUGGCCCGAAUCAACCCGGACCAUGCUCACCCCUAGUAGCUGGUGGUGAACAGACGAUAGAGCCCGUCUCCGUGUGGGGAAGCUCCAUGUCGUCUCGAACCGCGUUGCCUCAUAAUUUAUUUGCAUGCUGGACGUGCGUUGGUAGUGGUAGUGUCACUGUUUGUCCUCUUCUUUUUUAAAGCAACUUCUAUAUUGGAAGCCAACUGUCCACAGCUGAGUUAGCGUGGGGGGUUGACUCCCACCAAUCCUUCGUUGCCUCUCCUCAUCUCUCACACGUUUUCUCCCAUCUUCAUCUUCGGUACGAAGCUAUAAAUACCAUCUCCACAUCUCUCCCAUUUCAUCAAUCAACGCAAACACUCCACAUCUCUCUCUCCUCUUCAGUCCUCACUCUCAUAUCAUCUCAUUGAGAUUUGCUUCUCUUCUUCAACUACAGCAGCAGCAGCAGCAGACAGAACACGCCCAAUAUGGCCUCCCUUUCUACUUCUUCGCUUUGCAUCGCCACUCUGCUUCUCGUGGUCGUUUCUUGGGGGACGUUUGCUUCCGCCCGCAACUUCUAUCAAGACUUCGACAUAACCUGGGGUGAUGGCCGAGCUCAGAUCCUCAACAACGGCGACCUCCUCACUCUCUCCCUCGACAAGGCCUCCGGCUCCGGCUUCCAGUCCAAGAACGAGUACUUGUUCGGCAAGAUUGACAUGCAGCUCAAGCUAGUUCCCGGCAACUCCGCUGGCACCGUCACCGCAUACUAUGUAAGUCUCCUUCUUAAUCAGUUUGUGCCCCUUUAUCUUCAAGCUUCCUUCUUUUUUUCUCGAUCAGAUUUUUAAUUUUUGCUAUGUUGUUAUUCUACAGUUAUCUUCAAACGGGUCGGCGUGGGAUGAGAUAGACUUCGAGUUCUUGGGGAACUUGAGCGGCGAUCCAUACAUUCUCCACACCAACGUCUUCAGCCAAGGCAAGGGUAACCGAGAGCAGCAAUUCUAUCUCUGGUUCGACCCAACUGCUGAUUUCCACACCUACUCCAUCCUCUGGAAUCCACAACGCAUCAUGUAAGAGUCUGAAAAGCUCAAAAUGCGACCUUACUUGCAUUUACAUUGCGCUACACUAUUCUCUGCGGCAUUUACUCAAAUACCUUUGUGCGCGACCAUUGCAGAUUCUCAGUGGACGGGACUCCCAUCAGAGAGUUCAAGAACGCAGAGUCCAUCGGUGUUCCCUUCCCCAAGGCCCAGCCCAUGAGGAUAUUCUCGAGCCUCUGGAACGCGGACGACUGGGCGACCAGAGGCGGGCUCGUGAAGACGGACUGGACGCAAGCGCCCUUCACUGCUUCCUACAGGAACUUCAACGCCGAUAACGCCUGCGUUUGGUCAUCUGGGUCGUCAUCUUGCACUUCGUCUUCAUCUUCUUCGGAUGGUAAUGCAUGGCUAGCAGAAGAGCUUGACUCGACAAGCCAAGAGAGGCUCAAGUGGGUGCAGAGCAACUACAUGAUCUACAACUACUGCACGGAUGCCAAAAGAUUCCCCCAGGGCUUCCCUCCUGAGUGCUCCAUGUCCUAAACGACACAAGACAUAGGAUUUGUAGAAAAUUCUCUAUUCGUUUUUUUCCCUUUUUGGAGCCGAUUCUAUCAAUCUGUUAAUCUCUCUCUCUCUCUCUCUCUCUCUCUCUCUCUCGUCGAGAAGCAAUUGAUAUUCUUUUAUUCUUUGACACGUGUCACAUUCUUGUCUUUAUUAAAUGAAACAGAAAAUCAUCUUGGAUUUCAUAGCAUUGCUGUGAUUCUCAGUACACAUGUUUUUACAUGACCCCGAAGUGUAGGUUCGAAGUCUUGUAAUCAGUCUUGUAAUCUAUACAAUAAAUACUCCAAGCAAUGCUAUUUCUACUGUCUAUAAGGAUUUUCCCACGGCUAAUUUAGUAAAUUAAAAAAAUCACCCUCAAAGAAGAGGGAAAACAAAGAAAAAAAAAAGAAAAAAAGAAAAGAAAAAAUAAUUCGAAUUUAAAAAUAAAAGGGGGGGGGGGGGAGAGGAGGAGGAGGAAAUGAAGGCUUGGAAGAGUGUGAGAUAAGAGAAACCAAGUAAGAAAAAGUGGAAAACAUUUUUCCCUAGUUUAAAAGACUUUUUUUUCCUCAUUCAUGGAAAAUGUUUUCCCCAAGCAAUUCAUUUUUUUGUGAAAUAAACGUUGGAACUUUGGAAAACAUUUUUUUAGAAAUUAUUUUCCGCAAAACGAAUGAAGCCUGAAUGUAAACUUUGUAUGACCGGUACAAAAGAUAUAAACCACUUAUUCUUUUAGUGCACCUGGACAAGUAGUGUAUGGCAUAGUAUUUUGGUACAAAAUGGAAUUUGACAUUAUGUAGGAGGUUGGAACUUAGAACUUCAAUGAAUGAUUGGAGACACCAAGGGUAAAAACUUGAAGAUGAGACUCCUCAAGCUAUCUUUUUUAGCGACAAUCUAUUACAUCUGGAUGGAACACAAUCGCAAAUGAUUUCAAAACAAGUAGAUUGAGACUCAUGUUCUGUUAACUAAGAUUCAAAAGAUUGUAAGAGGUAAGACGUCACUCUACUAAAAAUGUAGGUCUUUCUAGGCAAAUGUUUUAUUAGCUCCUGUAUGGAGCCUCCCUCCUUCCAUCUUUUCGCAUUAAUGGUCUCUUUAUAAUGUUAGGGGAUCCCCCUAAGCUUAGUACCUCAUAUGAUUAAUGAUAUUCACAUAUUUACAAUUUUUUUUUUUUAAAAGUGCGAAAAUGAAAACCUGACAGUAGUCGACCAAAGAAUACACAUGGCCAUGUUUUAGAGCUUUAGGACAGGAUCCACCUUGAGUAAAAUGGAAAUUUAAGUAUUCAUGAAAUUAUUCUAAACGUGUGACAUUACACUAUUCUAAUCCAUGCCAAACAAAUUAUUUAUAAUAAAAGUUAUUUAUAGAAUACCCAAAAAAGCACUAAUUAGGGGAUGACUUUAGAAAAUUAGAGAAAUUCCAAACCUAUCAUUUAUGCUCUAGUUUAUUUAACAGUAAUAUAUACUUUUUGGUUUUCUUCCAUAUUUUUUAAUUAUUAUUUUUAAAAUUUGUUUGAAAAAUAAUAUCAAUUCAUUAGACUGAAGUAUGCUUAAUUCAAAUAAACAUGGACCAAUUCAAAACAUGAAUAUCACAUUAAUAAAGCUCGAAUCAACCUGUUCAAGAUUGGAAUGUGGUUUGGGCAUUUCGUCGAACGACCAAUGUGCAUUAGAAUACACAGACCAGUUCGUGACCUUCAAUCUUGACUCGAAAGUGAUCUUAAGCUCAAACAAGACAUCAGAGUUAUACUAAAACUUUUAGGGGAAAAUAUGAACAAGAAAUAAGAUCCCAAAAUACAUUAAAUUAUAAUUUAGCCUACCUUAUAUUGGUUCAACCUACUUUUGCAAAUCGAGGUUUGAACCCUAGUCAAGAAAAUAGGUCGCCUACCCCGAUUCAAGCCCUUAUAUCUAAUAUACUAAAGACUUUGGGAAAAAUUCACUCAAUCUGAAUGAAUGUAUGUAUUACGAGAUUUCAAAUGCAACAAACAUCCCAGAUAAUGAUCAACUACAAAGGUCAAAAUGACCCCUCAAAGUGGCCUUCAUGCAUGAUCCACACAAGCUAGCCAUCUAGUGUGAAUCGGUUCAGUUUUUUGUUCAAGUUCUAAGUGCUCCAUGGCUCAUAUAGAGAUUUAAAAACCAAAUGAAGUUGACCUAAGUAUCAUUUGUAAUCCCAUAUAAUAUUCAUCAAGUUUACAAAGACAGAUAACUCAUGUAAACAAGUGUAGCAAGUCAAGUAUGCAAGACUCUUGAAGCUAGUUCAACACUUAGAAAACCAGCCUCAGAUAUAAGUUUCCUAACUCUUGAUUUUCCAUGGUCAAAAUUGAACAAAAAUGCAUUUAAGAUCCCUACCUUGCUACCUAGUUGCUGCUCCUAAUAAGCUUCUAAGAUGGCAAAGAGAGUAGGAUUUGAAUUGCACACCAAAGAGAGAGAGGGUAUGCUUGGGACAUAUUUGUAAAAAUUGGAAUUAAUUUACGAAAGUACCUAAGUUUAGAGCAUCACCAAGAUAUGUGACCUCCUAGGAAAGUGUCUUCCUGUACGACAAAACAAAAGUUUGAGACUUUGUAUUGGAAGGGCCAAAAGGACAAUAUCUCGACUAAGUUAAUAAAUUAAUGUUAAUGUCGUUACAACAUUAAUUUCAAUUUUCACAAAUAUAAGUCAAGCGCACUCUUCUCAUGUUAGGUGUGGAAUUCUAUUUAUUCAUGUCCCCUUCACCAUUCUAGAAAUCUACUAUGAGCCAUUUUUUUAUCUGAAUCCUCUGGCUCCAACGACUACUCUUUCCCCCAUCAAACGGGAUGUGCUGUCUUCACUAUGAGAAACGACAUUAGCUGGCGGAAAAGCAGCGAGAGGUCAUGAUAACGCAUGUGCUGCUGGCGGUCGAUGGAUGAUCGAGCUCGUCUCUGCGUGGGGGUGGGCGUGCGAGGGGAAGCUUCGUGGUGUCUCUAACCGCGUCCCACUAAUUUAUUUGUACGACGGAGGUUGGUAUGUCGCCGCUCGUCUGUCUUCUUUUCAGAAUCAUAUUUUAAUAUCAGAAGCCAACUGUCCACAGUUGAGUCGGUGUCGAGGUUUGACUCCCAUCAAUCCUUCUUUGCCUCUCCUGUUCUCUCACACGUUUUCUCCCUCCUCCAUCUUCGGCACGAAGCUAUAAAUACCAUCUCCACAUCUCUCCCAUUUCAUCAACCAACAGAAACACCCACAUCUCUCCCUCCUCUUCAGUCCUCACUCUCAUAUCAUCUUUGCUUCUCUUCAGCAACUACAGCAGCAGCAGAAAGACAGACAGAACACGCCCAAUAUGGCCUUCCCUUCUACUUCCUCACUUUGCAUCACUACACUGCUUCUCGUGGUCGUUUCUUGGGCGACGUCUGCUUCCGCCCGCAACUUCUAUCAAGACUUCGACAUAACCUGGGGUGAUGGCCGAGCUCAGAUCCUCAACAACGGCGACCUCCUCACUCUCUCCCUUGACAAGGCCUCCGGCUCUGGCUUCCAGUCCAAGAACGAGUACUUGUUCGGCAAGAUUGACAUGCAGCUCAAGCUCGUUCCCGGCAACUCCGCAGGCACCGUCACCGCAUACUAUGUAAGCCUCGUCCUUAAAAAGUUGGUGCCCCUUCAUCUUUAAGCUUCCUUCUUUUUUUCUUGAUCAGAUUUUAAUUUUUGCUAUGUUGUUAUUCUACAGUUAUCUUCAAAUGGGUCGACGUGGGACGAGAUAGACUUCGAGUUCUUGGGGAACUUGAGCGGCGAUCCAUACAUUCUUCACACCAACGUGUUCAGCCAAGGCAAGGGCAACCGAGAGCAGCAAUUCUAUCUCUGGUUCGACCCAACUGCUGAUUUCCACACCUACUCCAUCCUCUGGAAUCCACAACGCAUCAUGUAAGAGUCUGAAAAGCUCAAAUGCUACCUUACUUGCAUUUACAUUGCGCUACACUUUUCCCUGCAGCAUUUACUCAAUAACCUUUGUAUGCGACCAUUGCAGAUUCUCAGUCGACGGGACUCCCAUCAGAGAGUUCAAGAACGCAGAGUCCGUCGGUGUUCCCUUCCCCAAGGCCCAGCCCAUGAGGAUAUUCUCGAGCCUCUGGAACGCAGACGACUGGGCGACCAGAGGCGGGCUCGUGAAGACGGACUGGACGCAAGCGCCCUUCACUGCUUCCUACAGGAACUUCAACGCCGAUAACGCCUGCGUUUGGUCAUCUGGGUCGUCAUCUUGCACUUCGUCUUCAUCUUCUUCGGAUGGUAAUGCAUGGCUAGCAGAAGAGCUUGACUCGACAAGCCAAGAGAGGCUCAAGUGGGUGCAGAGCAACUACAUGAUCUACAACUACUGCACGGAUGCCAAAAGAUUCCCCCAAGGCUUCCCUCCCGAGUGCUCCAUGUCCUAGACGACACAAGACAUUGAUUUUGUAAAAAAUUCUCUUUUCUUUUUCUUCUUUUUUCGAGCCAAUUCUAUUCAUUUGUUUUGUGGCCGAGAAGCAAUUGAUAUUCUUUUAUUCGUUGACGAUUGUAACAUUCCUAUCUUUACUCAAUAAAACAGAAAAUCAUCUUAGAUUUCAUAGUAUUGCUGCGACUCAUGAGUGGAUACAACACAGAACAAAAUUAAUGGAAUGAAAAUGGAUUUUACAGGCCAGCUCCUGCCUUGAAUAUGAAACUGAUGACACAAUUGAUUACGCUGUCGCAGCUCAGAAAAUUAGAUAAACGCUACGUUGAACUAGUUUUGUUUUUAUGUUGAAUUCAACUCCGAUAUCCUCAUCGAGGGACUGAUUUGGUCGACAUUCCUUCCUGGUCCUUGUGCUCCACAGAAGGAUCAAACAUAGAAAACCGAUCAUCACAAUACCAUCAUGACCAGACAAGCUUUCCAAAUCUGCAAACUCAAAAAACAUUUUUGACUCCAACAUAGAAUCAACCAUGAUUUACGGCCGAUCAACCUCAAGUCAACCUAACUUAAAGAGCAAGGUGCCGUAAACUAGGAUCCAAAAAUCGUACUGUGUGCAACCUGCAACCCCUCCCACAAUUGAUGGUACUAUUAGCUGAUUUCACAAACUCUAAUGUUAAAUAGCUUCAGGGACUCUAAUGGAAAUGCUGCACAAUCGAACACUUGUAAGUGAGAUAUAUCAGAGUAGUAUCAUAAAGAACCUUUCGAGGAGACAAAUUGUCUAGAACAGGAGUUGGGAGAUCAAGUGAACUGCAGUCUCAAAAGCAAAUUCCCAGAGAUGACAAGGAAGAGCAGACUCAUCAUGAGACCAAGGCCAGUUUCCACUGUAUUGGCAAAGCUUGCGUUCAACGGUCCCAUUUUGAAAUAGAGAUUAUGCACAAUAGAAGCGCUGAUGAAUGCCGUGACUGAGAAGGUAAGAGUGCAUGGUAGAGGAUAAGUGUGACAUCCUGAAUUUCGACCUUGUCUCGAUUAAAUGAAAUAGGCAUUUCGUUGAUGCGCCUAUGGUCUUUUUUCUCAAAGCUGAUCACUCUCGAGUUAACUUAUCUAUCGGGUGAAGCUGUUAAGGGAUAUAAACUCGACAGACUUGAGAAUUCAAUCAGAAAUCGAUUGCUCGACCAUGAUAAUUGGCAAGGGUCAAUAUGACACAAUUAUAAUCGAUUAGUAAUCGGAUAUAAUUCGAUUCGAUGGAAUGACGUAAUUAAAUCAUGGGUGAUUCCACAUAAUUGCAAAAUUUGCGUCGAACGCACUAACCCAAUUAGGUGUCGAUUUUGUACUGGGUGUCCAUAAUUGAAAUCUUGAGAUUUUUAUGAUAAUCGAGAGUCACCAACGAGUCGGAGAUGCACAAACAUGAAUUGAAAUUAUCGACCAUGGGUGAAACGCACUAAAAUCCCUAAAAGCUACUUGGUAGGUUAGGUCACGCUAAAAUCAUGAAUUGAAAUUAUCGACCACGGGUGAAACGCACUAAAAUCCCUAAAAGCUACUUGGUAGGUUAGGUCACGCUAAAAUCAUAUCCGGUUCAUUUUAACCAUUGAGUUCGGAAUUUUACGAAAAAAUUGAUUUUCGGCAAAAAGAAAAUAAAAAAGGAAAUUCGGGGGUAGACCAAGUUGGAUUUUUCUACCUCUAGGCUUAUUUUGGGAAAUUAAGCUUAGGAAAGUAUUUUGGGAGGAUGAAAAUGAGCAUAGAGACUUUUGGGGCUUAGGUAAUGAUGGUUAGGGUAUUUUGCUUGGACUCUCUCUCCCUCUCUCCCUCUCUUUCACGCACACCUCCCUCCCCCCAGCAGACAUCUUCUUCUUCUCACAUAUCUUUCCUUUCCUCAUGUGUUCUUCAUCCCCUCAACCUCACGCUACCACACCAUUUUCUCCUCUACACCCACAAUCCAUCAACCAAUGCCAACAGCUCCUUGCCACACACCGCCAGCCCUGUAGCCCCCCAACGCCAAUACAGCACCUUCAUCUCACGUCCACCACCUAGCGGCAUCGUCCUUCACGCCCGCCGCAGCUCCCGCCAAGCUGCCACCGUCCACCACGCCAACGCAACUGCUCCGCCGAACUACUAGCACCACCCCACUUCACUGUCCGACUGCCCAACCGCUCAUUCCAGCCACCGUAGCCCCUCAAGUAGCCACGGUCCAGCAGCUACAAAACCGAACCAGCAACUCCAAGUCGUGGGCCCCUUGCAGUUUUCAGCCUCGGUUGGUCCUAUGUUGGAGACUCGGUAGUUUCAAGUCUUCAUCGCCUUCGCGCCGCCUUUGCCGUGAGCCCACCACUAUCGUAAUCUGGUGAGUUAACUCCAUAAUCCUUGAUUAGGUUUUUAAUUGCACUUAGGGGGUUAGAUUAGUACUAAUUAACUUAGUUAAAUUAGUAUUAAGUGAGAUUAGCCUUAAUAUGGAUUAGUGUUAAUCUAAUUGGUUAGAUUAGCACUAAUGAGGGUGGUUUAGUCUAAUUUAGUGGAUUUCUCUCGAAUCUGGUUACUGGACCCUUGCCGUUUGCUAUUUUUGUGGGGAGAAAUGCACAACGAUUUUGGAGUGGCUUCAUCUUGAGAAAUGUUUUAGAUAUCUUCAGUUAUGACAUAUAUUUUAGUCAAGAUUUUAUGGAUUUAAAAGAAUGAUAUUUCAACUUCGUUAUUUGCAAAAAAGAAUCUCGAAUUGUGCUGAGACCAGUGACUUUUUGGUGUUUAAUGGAUUUUUUUUCAACUCUUAGAGUUAUAUUUUCGAAACGAUUCCUUCACAAAAGUUGUUUAUCAUAUCUUGUAGUUUAAUAGAGUCAAAUUUCAAAUCAAACGAAUAAGUUUUGGCCUUCAAGCCAAACUGAUUUCAGAAAACAAACUUUCUAGAUACAAACACAGUUUUUGUAAUAGUUUGGGCAACUUACUGCUCUCAAUCUAGAAAAAUCUGGGUUAGGUAUCUACAUGAAAAAUGAUCUUUUAAGUGUCCUUUACAACAUAUUCAAAUUUGAGAAUUUUUUGAAUUCGUUUGGUUAUGUUUCUAGAAUUAAACUUGGAGACGCGCGAAUGGCCCAGUUUCUGCUAGUUAGGGCUGGUAGUGGUUUUGUGAUUAUUCUUGGUGCCGUGCUUGCUGGAUAAUGUGUAUUUGGUGAUAUGGUUGACUUUUGGCAUGCUUAGAGUUUAUGCUUGAUAAUAUGUGAAAUUAAUUGCUUAAUUGUGCAAUUGGGUGUCUGGGUUUUGUAUUAUUGCAAAAAUCGGAUUUUGGUAUUUAAAUAGAAAAAUACCGGAUGUUGGUUUUGAUGCCAAAAAUAUUUUAGGUACUAUAUAAAAUCCUGGAAUUUCGAAAUGGGAGAGUAUCACGUUUUAUAAUUUGAUUUGACUGUGUGACCACGCACAAUUAUUUUACCGAGUAUUUUUAAUUCGAAGAAAAUUGGCCAAGUCCAAAUGAAAAUAUUUGAGUGCAAAGCACGAUAUUCUUGGUUGAACAUGGAUGUGCGUGUGAUCGCUUAAGUACCCUGAUGUGUUUACGCAAGAUAGUGAACCCGUCUUGAUGCGUUUACGUAGGAUGAUGCAUGAUUAAGUUCAGAUGCCCUUGACAACGGAUGCCACUUGCAAUAAAGGUUGGGCCAAUGCUCCUUAUGGAAUGCGUUUACGUGGGACGUUGCCGUGCCUGAUGAAGUGAGACGACACCCGGUUAUGCCAGAUGACUGCCAACUAUUGAGUUGGACAUACAUGGCCGAUGGUCGUAAUAACUGCCGAGAGAUGUGCGCGUGCCCGAGAUUCGGGGCGUGACAAUAAAGAACUCGAGUGCUCCAUCACACUAAAUCAUCUAAAGCUUGCACUGAAGUUGAGUCUUCACAAGGGCAUGAAAGGCUUUAAAAAUGUUGAAAAAUUGAUCUUGAGAUGCGAAGGGAUAAAGCCAAAUAAAUCGAGAAAAGUCAUCAUUAAAACACCCGUAAUAUUUAUAAAACAGGAGGCAAACCCCAAACAUCAAAAUGAACUAGCUGAAGAGAGGAAGCCCUAGAUCCGUGUACGUCAAAUCACAUCUAGGCGUUCUCCGAAGGAUGGAGAAGAAAGGAGACCAGAGAUAGUGGCAGCAGGAGUUAUGGGUCUGGUGAUUGUUGUAGCGUUGUUUACUCGGCAGAGGAGGAAUUUGCAGAGGAAUUUGAGUCACACGUAUUUAGAUCGAUGGGCUUUUGCCUUUUUGAUACCAAGAUAAAAAUAGAGAUGCAGAAAGAAAACAGAGAAUAUAGGAGACAUAGGAAAAGUGAGUGUAUAUAUAUAAAUAUAGAAAGAAUCUCUAGGGAUAGAUAUUGACAACAAAAUUUGUAACUACCAAUGAAGAUAAUAUUUGAAUCAAUCAAGGAUUACAUAUUAUGCGUAGAUUCUGAUUGUGUGGUGAUUCUAGUGCGAGAACGUUGUCAAUCUCGGAUUGUAUAUCAUGCGAAUAUUCUGAUUAUGCUAUGAUUCAUAUGCGAGCUAGAGAUAACAUUUUAUUCUGGAGUGAGCUCGAAUAAUUAGCAGUGGACUGGGUCAACAGAUAGCUUCAAAUAGAAUCUUCAUGCUAAGUUUGUCCCCCCAUACAAAUUGCGCAACCAAAGAAGCAUCGGCAUAUAUAUUAUAAAAGACAAAACCUGAAGAUUACCUUCCUCUAACCAAACAAAGUCCAUUUCCAUCUUCUUUUCCCAGCUAAAAGAAUGCACCAAUCACCAAUAAAAGAAAACUCCUUGUACUUAUCCUUUCAAACCAUCCUUGCAAAUUGUCAAUAUGCCGAGUUUCCCAAAAAAGGUGAUAAUAAUCGACUCUUUUAAAUCAGAGAGAAAUAUAAGUUGAACAAAGAGACAGAACACGAAUACACGAAUAAUUUAAAGGAAAUAAAAAUUGAACAGAGGGAAAGAUAAGAAAGGAUCUGAAACAGAGGAUUUCGGGUGCCUCUGCAGACAUUUGCUGCACAGAAUUCUCUUCAUGAUCUCAACUUGCAAUCUCCAUCAAAAAAUUUUGAUUGAACCGAGAUGUAAACCCGAGGAACAAAUAAAGUGGUUAACCCGAGUGAAGUUAACAAAAAUUAAUUGACCUGAGCCAACGCAUCAUUCGGCCGAUUUUUUUUUUACAUUUUAGAACCAAAAAAGCAUGCAUAAUCUGAACAAUUUUAAAUGUAAUUUAUUAUAUUCUCUCCAAAGAUUUGAGGUGUUGUAUGUUAAGUUGAGGUGAAAUAGGAAAGUUAAAUGCAAAAAGAUAAGAAAUGAGAAAAAGAAAAUAGAACCGGAAUGUAUCUAGACAAAACGCAUUCCUAAAUCGUACAUGUAAAACAGUGGGAGGAGACAUGUGGGUUCUCAAAGAGUACAAAUUUUCAAUAUGUCCGCUCUUUGGUGUCAAGAGAGAAUGAAUUUUUACUUUCCAUGAAAGUUUUUAGAUGCUCCUCCUAUAAUAUCUCUGCCUAAGGUACAUGAAGAUGAUAGGCGCAAUGAUCUCUAACGUAUGCAAAUUAUAGUGCGCGGGAAGAAUGUAAGUACCCCACCAUAUGAGAUCCACCGACAUUAGCUGGCGGAAAAGCAGCGACCGCUCAUGGUGAAGCAUGUAGCUGGCGGUGAACAGACGAUAGAGCCCGUCUCCGUGUGGGGAAGCUCCAUGUCGUCUCGAACCGCGUUGCCUCAUAAUUUAUUUGCAUGGGGAAUGUGGGUUGGUGUGUCACUGUUUGUCCUCUUCUUUUUUAAAGCAAUUUCUAUAUUGGAAGCCAACUGUCCACAGCUGAGUUAGCGUGGGGGGUUGACUCCCACCAAUCCUUCGUUGCCUCUCCUCAUCUCUCACACGUUUUCUCCCAUCUUCAUCUUCGGUAGGAAGUUAUAAAUACCAUCUCCACAUCUCUCCCAUUUCAUCAAUCAACGCAAACACUCCACAUCUCUCUCUCCUCUUCAGUCCUCACUCUCAUAUCAUCUCAUUGAGAUUUGCUUCUCUUCUUCAACUACAGCAGCAGCAGCAGCAGACAGAACACGCCCAAUAUGGCCUCCCUUUCUACUUCUUCGCUUUGCAUCGCCACUCUGCUUCUCGUGGUCGUUUCUUGGGGGACGUUUGCUUCCGCCCGCAACUUCUAUCAAGACUUCGACAUAACCUGGGGUGAUGGCCGAGCUCAGAUCCUCAACAACGGCGACCUCCUCACUCUCUCCCUCGACAAGGCCUCCGGCUCCGGCUUCCAGUCCAAGAACGAGUACUUGUUCGGCAAGAUUGACAUGCAGCUCAAGCUAGUUCCCGGCAACUCCGCUGGCACCGUCACCGCAUACUAUGUAAGUCUCCUUCUUAAUCAGUUUGUGCCCCUUUAUCUUCAAGCUUCCUUCUUUUUUUCUCGAUCAGAUUUUUAAUUUUUGCUAUGUUGUUAUUCUACAGUUAUCUUCAAACGGGUCGGCGUGGGAUGAGAUAGACUUCGAGUUCUUGGGGAACUUGAGCGGCGAUCCAUACAUUCUCCACACCAACGUCUUCAGCCAAGGCAAGGGUAACCGAGAGCAGCAAUUCUAUCUCUGGUUCGACCCAACUGCUGAUUUCCACACCUACUCCAUCCUCUGGAAUCCACAACGCAUCAUGUAAGAGUCUGAAAAGCUCAAAAUGCGACCUUACUUGCAUUUACAUUGCGCUACACUAUUCUCUGCGGCAUUUACUCAAAUACCUUUGUUUGCGAUCAUUGCAGAUUCUCAGUGGACGGGACUCCCAUCAGAGAGUUCAAGAACGCAGAGUCCAUCGGUGUUCCCUUCCCCAAGGCCCAGCCCAUGAGGAUAUUCUCGAGCCUCUGGAACGCGGACGACUGGGCGACCAGAGGCGGGCUCGUGAAGACGGACUGGACGCAAGCCGCCCUUCACUGCUUCCUACAGGAACUUCAACGCCGAUAACGCCUGCGUUUGGUCAUCUGGGUCGUCAUCUUGCACUUCGUCUUCAUCUUCUUCGGAUGGUAAUGCAUGGCUAGCAGAAGAGCUUGACUCGACAAGCCAAGAGAGGCUCAAGUGGGUGCAGAGCAACUACAUGAUCUACAACUACUGCACGGAUGCCAAAAGAUUCCCCCAGGGCUUCCCUCCUGAGUGCUCCAUGUCCUAAACGACACAAGACAUAGGAUUUGUAGAAAAUUCUCUAUUCGUUUUUUUCCCUUUUUGGAGCCGAUUCUAUUCAUUUGUUCUGUGGCCGAGAAGCAAUUGAUAUUCUUUUAUUCUUUGACGAUUGUAGCAUUCCUAUCUUUACUCAAUAAAACAGAAAAUCAUCUUGGAUUUCAUAGUAUUGCUGCGACUCAUGAGUGGAUACAACACAGAACAAAAUUAAUGGAAUGAAAAUGGAUUUUACAGGCUAGCUCCUGCCUUGAACAUGAAACUGAUGACAGAAUUGAGUACGUUGUUGUAGCUCAGAAAAUUUGAUAAGCGCUAGAUUGAACAAGUUUUGUUUUUAUGUUGAAUUCAACUCCGAUAUCCUCAUCGAGGGACUGAUUUGGUCGACAUUUCUUCCUGGUCCUUGUGCUCCACGGAAGUAUCAAACAUAGACAAUCGAUAAUCACAAUACCAUCAUGACCAGACGAACUCCCUAAAUCUGCAAACUCAACGAACAUCCUUGACUCCGACAUAGAAUUAACCACGAUCUAUGGCCGAUCAACCUCGAGUCAACCCAGGUUAAAAAGCAAGGUGCCGCAAAAUAGGAUCCAAAACUCGUGCAGUGUGCAACCUGCAAUCCCUCCAGCAACUGAUGGUACUCUUGGCUGAUUUCACGAACUCUAAUGGUAGAUAGCCUCAGGGCUUAAAACUUCGUAUAGGGCAAUCAUUCAUAUGUAGUUCCGAACAACAAUAGUUUGUUCUUUUCUAACUCUCCUUACUCAUGAACAUCAUCGCAACUUGAAGCCAUCUUGUAUCUUACAGUCCACAAUUCCUUGCUCACUUUUGUCAACCUUCCACUACAUUACCUGUUGUUGCAACUCAAAUUGCGAUGGGAGAACCUUAUUCCCAGUCUUCAAAAUCGUGUCACCUGAUUCAACCAAACGAAGGUGCAAAGUUAUCGCCCGUGUAGACGCGCUGCAAUUAUAAUAUUUGGGUGGUGGGGCCCAAAAAGAGAAAAAGAAAAUAAGGUUGAAAAGUCAAAAGAAGAAAAAGCCAAAGAAGGGGACGCACGGUUCUUAAAUAGACCGAGAGCACGUGCCAAAAAAUAAAAUAAAAAAGAGGGAAAGAGAGGAAAGAAAAGAGGGGAAGGAGGAAAGAAAGAAGAACAAAGAAAAAGAGAGGGCUUUGUGCCAUAGAGACCUCGUCAAGCUAAUUCAACUCUAAUAUUUCAUGCUCGCAUCCCUCAUUCUUCCAAUGGGAUUAGUUUUCAAGAUUAAGGCUUAAAUUCGAAAUUAUGUGAUAUUCGAGCCAUGAAGUCCGAUUUUUAAGUUAUUGAGCUAUAGAAUUUCUUGGAAAUUAUAGUUUAAGGCGUUAUGAAGCCAUAGGGUUUGUCAAGAGUCAUUUGGUAGAGCAAAAUUUUAGGGUUUCGUGUUCAAGUUCCGCAUUGCAUUUAAAUUUGAAUAAUUGCUUCGAGUGAGCAAUUUAUUAGUGCGUAAAAGUCUUUUUGUUAACGUUUAAGUAUAAUUGAGAUAGAGUUUUAUUUUGAUUUAAUGUCAACUCUCAUUUAAUUGUUAAGAUUAUGAGAUCUUCAAUUCGUGUAGCUAUGCGUUAUUUGGUUUGGGAUUCUUAAGUGAGUGAUACUAUCUCUUCCAUGAAUUUCUAAACUCAUUUAUUGAAAGCAACACAAAUUUGAUAUAUUAUAACUUAUGAAUAAGCAUGUUUGUUGCAUAAAAUCUGGAUAAGGUGUUUAGUACAAUUUAGUACUUGUAAAUGGUUUGCAAAUGUUUUGGAAAGUUGUCGCAAAAGAUUAUAUGUAUAUAUGUUGAUUCAUGAACUUAAUUUAUGAAAUGGAUUCUAAAAUGGUUUGGGAAACAUAUUGUGAUUUAUGAAAUGGUUUUUGAAUUUGGCUUUGUGGAUUGUGAAAGAUGUCAUGAACUUAAUUUAUUUGGUUUGCCUCAUUAGAUAUUUGAGCAGGAGUUUGAUCAAUAGAUGAACCAUUGACAUGUGAUUUUGUUGAAAUUGAUUAAUGGACUUAACCAUCAAUGUUUGUCAUAAUAUUAUUGAUUUAAUGAUUGUAUUCUAAUAUGUUUAUAGUUAUGUUAAAGCAAUAUAACUCAUCUUUAUCUUAUAUAUGUAUUAUGUACUUAAAAAUGAUAUAAAUGACUUAUGAUAUUGUUUUGUAAAGUGCAUAGUGGAUGCUUAAUUUGCUUAGAAGAGUUGUACCACUCACCAGGCUGUGAUUGUUUAUUCCAUUUAUAUUUUGUGCUUUUCAGGAUCCUUGAUUAAUGGCUGUCAGAGGUAGAGCAAUGUCAACAAUUGGACUUUUAGGAGUGGGAUUUUAGUGGUUUAAAGUUGCAUCUUUUGAGUGGAAGAAAGGCCAUGUCAUUAUCUCUAUCCCUAUAGAAUUAGGAGUGCAAUAACAACAGGGCAAUUCAAUACAAUUUAUGUUUCCUAUUCGCCAUUUAAAAAACUCUCAAAUCUAGUAAACACAUGAGGACUUUAAUGCAAUCCAAACGUCUGUUCGAAACAUAAUCAAGCACUCCUGAUCGUCUGUUGCUAACAAAAUCGUGGGACGGCUUCACCUAGAAUCUAUUCUCGAUAGUCUCUAAAGUCUUAAGUUUGUCCCCUGAUAUUGCCUUCAAUUGAACAUGAACAUAUUCAAGAUGAAAACACAAUAAUCUCUCACUCCAACGAAUUUACACAGAUAGUUCAAAAGCCAUGUGCUCGCUUGGAUUGGUAUGGAUUAAUAGGAUGUCCCGAGCCUUAAGAUGACAUCAUUGACUGCGUUGAUGACCAUUGACUUGAUCACGUCACAUAGAUGUCUCUUUAUGUGAUUUGGGGAAAAUUGUCAGAAAAGUCUUAAAUCUAUUGCAUUUAUAUCAAUUUAUGGUGCGUUUAGUAACAUUUCUGUUUAAAAAUUGUUUCUAAAAACAGAAAUAGAAAAAAAUAUUUCUGCUUCAGGAAACAAUUUUUAAACAAAAAAACGCAUUUGGUAAAUUUGUUCCAGAAAUAUAAAAAGAAUAAAAACACGUUUGGUAAAUUUGUAUAAUUUUUUUUUAUUUCUUUUAAUUUUUUAAUAUUUUUAUUUUAUUUUUUCUAUUUUCUUUCUUUUUUUUCUUUCUUUUUUUCUUUUUUUUUUCUUUUUUUUUCCUUUUUUGUUUUUUCUUCUUUUGGUCGGUCGCUGACCUCGGCCAUGGCCCGGCGACCAGCCGACGAGGGCCGACGGCCUCACCUUGGUUGGGCGAGCUCAAGCUCGCCCAAAUCCGACAAGGCCGAGCUCACCCAGCCAAGGCGAGGCUGAGCCUUGCCGGCGCGGGGCAAGGCUAGGUGAGCUCGGGCUCGCCGGAUCUGGGCGAGCUCGAGCUUGCCCAACCAAGGCAAGGCCGAGCCUCGCCCAACCACGGCGAGGCUCAGCCUCAUUGGGGGCCGGCGAGCCUUGCCGUGGCUAGGCAAGGCUGCCAGCCCUCGUCAGCUGGUCAUCAGCCAUGGCCGAGGCCAGCGACCGGCCAAAAAAAGAAAAUUAAAAGAAAUUAAAAGAAAUUAAAUUAAAUUAUUAAAAAAUUAAAAGAAACAAAAAAAGAAUACAAAUUUACCAAACAUGUUUUUAUUCAUUUUUUAUUCCCGGAACAAGUUUACCAAACGCCUUCUUCUGUUCAAAAAUUAUUCCCCGAAGCAGAAAUAGUUUUUUCUAUUUAUAUUCCCUAGAACAAUUUUUGAAAAGAAAUAUUACCAAACACGCCAUUAAUUUCCUGACAGGUGUAUCCACAAUCAUCGACUCCACUAUCAGUCGAUAUGUUCAAGUUGUCAUUUUGUUGCUGCUCUUCUAGCCAAACUAUCUUUAUUGACAAAGUUUGUCACUUAUCGAUAAUUACUUAAAAUUGGUCAAAAAAAAUGUUUUUUUGGGUAUAAAUAGCUCUUGAGGGAUUUGUGGAACCUUUAGGUCCUUACGUCACCUCGACUAAUGACAUCCACCGACAUUAGAUGGCGGAAAAGCAGCGAAAGCUCAUAAACAAAGGAUUUAGCUGGCAAUGAAGAGACGAUAGAGCCCAUCUCUAUUUGGGUGGGUGUGUGUGGAAGCUUCGUAUCGUCUGAAAAUGCAAAACCGCGUUGCCUCAUAAUUUCUACGCAUGAUGGGGGUCGGGAGUGUCCUCUUCUUUUGGAAACUUCUUUUUUACAUCUGAAGCCAACUGUCCUCAGCUGAGUUUUAGCGUUUGAUGUUGACUCCAUACAUCCCCUUCUCUCACACGCUUUUGCUUUACCCCUUCUCCAUCUUUGGCAAAAAAGCUAUAAGUACCAUCUGCACAUCUCUCCCAUUUCAUCAAGCAACACAAACACCCACAGCUCUUCCUCUCUCUCCCUCAGUGUCUCCUCUUCAGUCCUCACUCUCAUAUCAUCUCAUUGGCAUUUGCAUCUCUUCAGCAACUACAGCCGCAGCAGCAGCAGCAAAAAACAAAACACGCCCCAUAUGGCCUCUCGUUCCACUUCUUCGCUUUGUACCACCGCGCUUCUUCUCCUGGUCGUUUCUUGGGCAGCAUCCGCUUUUGCCCGCAACUUCUACCAAGACUUCGACAUAACCUGGGGAGAUGGCCGAGCUCAGAUCCUCAAUAGUGGCGACCUCCUCACUCUUUCCCUCGACAAGGCCUCCGGCUCCGGCUUCCAGUCCAAGAACGAGUACCUGUUUGGCAAGAUUGACAUGCAACUCAAGCUCGUUCCCGGCAACUCCGCAGGCACCGUCACCGCUUACUAUGUAAGUCUCCAUCUUAAUCAGUCGGUGCCCCUUUAUCUUCAAGCUUCCUUCUUUUUAUCUCGAUCAGAUUUUAACUUUUACUAUGUUGUUAUUCUACAGUUAUCUUCAAACGGGUCGACGUGGGACGAGAUAGACUUCGAGUUCUUGGGGAACUUGAGUGGCGAUCCGUAUAUUCUUCACACCAACGUGUUCAGCCAAGGCAAGGGCAACCGAGAGCAGCAAUUCUAUCUCUGGUUCGACCCAACUGCUGAUUUCCACACCUACUCCAUCCUCUGGAAUCCGCAACGCAUCAUGUAAGAGUCUAAAACGCUCAAAAUGCGACCUUACUUGCAUUUACAUUGCGCUACACUAUUCUCCGCGGCAUUUACUCAAAAACCUUUGUGUGCGACCAUUGCAGAUUCUCAGUGGAUGGGACUCCGAUCAGAGAGUUCAAGAACGCAGAGUCCAUCGGCGUUCCCUUCCCCAAGGCCCAGCCCAUGAGGAUAUUCUCGAGCCUCUGGAACGCGGACGACUGGGCAACCAGAGGCGGGCUCGUAAAGACAGACUGGACACAAGCGCCCUUCACUGCUUCCUACAGGAACUUCAAUGCUGAUAACGCCUGCGUUUCGUCAUCUGGGUCCUCAUCUUGCACUUCGUCUUCAUCUUCUUCGGAUGGUAAUGCAUGGCUAUCGGAAGAGCUCGACUCAACAAGCCAAGAGAGGCUGAAGUGGGUUCAGAGCAACUACAUGAUCUACAACUACUGUACAGAUGCCAAAAGAUUCCCCCAAGGCGUCCCUCCUGAGUGCACCAUGUCCUAGACGACACAAGACAUAGGAUUUGUAGAAAAUUCUUCGUUUUUUUUUUUUCCCCUUUGUGAGCCAACUCUAUUCAUUAGUUAAUCUCCCUCUCGAUGUACUCGAGAAGCAAUUGAUAAUCUUUUAUUCUUUGACAUUGUAUAACAUUCUUGUCUUUACUCAAUAAAACAGAAGCUCAUCUUGGAUUUCAUAGCAGUGCUGCGAUUCAGUGAGUGGAUACUACACAGAGCAACAUUAAUUGAAAGAAAAUGGAUUAUACAGGCUAGCUCCUGCCUUGAACAUGAAACUGAUGACAGAAUUGAGUACGUUGUUGUAGCUCAGAAAAUUUGAUAAGCGCUAGAUUGAACAAGUUUUGUUUUUAUGUUGAAUUCAACUCCGAUAUCCUCAUCGAGGGACUGAUUUGGUCAACAUUUCUUCCUGGUCCUUGUGCUCCACGGAAGUAUCAAACAUAGACAAUCGAUCAUCACAAUACCAUCAUGACCAGACGAACUCCCUAAAUCUGCAAACUCAACGAACAUACUUGACUCCGACAUAGAAUUAACCAUGAUCUAUGGCCGAUCAACCUCGAGUCAACCCGGGUGGUUUCAAGUCCUCUCCCGAUUUGGGAGCUUCUCUCUCGCAGGAAGAGUUUCUCCACGCUUGGUGUGGUAAUGGCUCAUUUACUCCCAAAUCAAAACCCUAAUCGAAACACCCACCAUCCCAUUUCCGUCUAGCUUCCAUUCCCUGAGAUUUCCAUCCCAGAAUGAGCCUCAUGGUGAAAAUGGAAGUUCUUCGAGCACUGUUCCAUUCAACUGGGGCUGUCAUCCAUGGCAUGUCCAUGCUCCUUCUCACAAAAUGAGCUUUUUUUUAAAACUUUUUUCCACUAAAACAAAAACCAAAUAUCUACAAAAUCCACUACAUCAGCCUUAAUAACCCUUUCCACAAAUCAUCCAGUUCCCAUAUCCAACACUACAAAAACCCUAACCCUUUCCCAGCUAUUGAAUCACGCUUCAAAUCGGCUCUAUGCAAGUUGCCUAAGAUGUCGGGAUUAUCAAUACAGCUUCAAAAUGGUUAUGAUAAGACAGGCGCAACACACCCACCAUCUUCAUCUUGGUAUCAAACGCAAUCCAUUGUCUCAGGUUCGUCUCUUCCCUUAAAGUAUUAAGAACAGGUCUUAAGGCAUCGUCGAGCAAGCUUGUGGUUGUUUUACUACCUUCUUGGACUACUUACUAGAGUGUUUCGCCUCCAUGGAACACAAAGGCGAAGAUCCUCGGAUGAAACUUCUCUGCAAAAGGUUGGGAGAUAUGUGGUCAGAAGAUGAUAUAAUCGAUCUGGAGGAUAUCGACACUAGUGAGCAGGAAAAAGAUUGUCGUGCAAUGUUGAUAGGAAAGCUCUUUAUGAACCCAAAUGUUAAUUUUCAAGCUUUCCAGAGUACUAUGAAGAAGGCUUGGAAAAUAGAAAGUGUUGAUAUUACCCCCUUGGAGCAAGGACUGUUUUUAUUUGCUUUCAAAACAGAAGGGGACUCAAAACGUGUGUUGAAUGGUGGCCCGUGGUCCUUUGCUAAUCAUUGUCUGUUACUGAAACCAUGGGAACCAAAUACCCCCCCUCGCUGUUACAAUUUCUCAAAAGGGGCUUUUUGGGUCCACAUAUUCAGCCUUCCGGUGGAAUGGUGUAAUGCGGAAGCUGUUAGGAGAAUUGCGCGGGAUCUGGGAGAGGUGUUAGAAAUCAAAGUGGAACCCAAAGGUGGCGCUAAUUUUGUAUCAGGGAAAGUGAAAGUAGAGUUGGAUCUCUUUGCGCCUUUAAAACAAGGAAGUGUGGUUAAACGAGCGGGAAGAAAAUUCUGGCUAGAAUACAAAUACGAAAGACUUCCUCAUUUCUGCUAUGCAUGUGGAAAAUUGGGACAUUACACUACUCAGUGUGCUGAAAACCAAGUUGACCUGGAGAGAAUUAAUGAGCUACGAUUUUGGUAUUGGUUGAAGGUAGAAGCUAAAGAAUUUAGCCCUAUAUGGAAGAUGUUUUAUGAAGAUCUGAAAAAGGAUAGUGUAGAAGAAGAAGUUGUACCUGAAACUCAAGAGAAUCCAAGCCAGAUGGAUAUUGUCCAGCACCUCCCUUUAAACAGCAGCCGCAUGGAUAGACCUGAAAAAAGAAAAGAGAUGGAAAAUGAAAAACUAGGAGAUGUACAAGGAAAGGCAAGUUCUUCGUUCCUGUUAUUAACGUGGCCAGAAAACGAACCAUCUUUUGCACCUCUCAACCAUAACAUUCAGAAGGGAUUGUAUCCAAGAAAAGAAGGGAAAGCAGCCAGGCACACAAGCAAAAAAAUAGAAAAGGUUCAGUCCUUAUGGCAAUGAGAAGCAAGACCAGGAGAUUUUGGAUGAGACUCAACUCCUAGAGACCCCAAUCCAAAUUGAGAAGGGAGAGGGCACAUGGGCUUUGGUGGCUAACCCUAAUAAGCCACCGGGGUACAAAUGAACAUAUUAAGCUGGAAUUGUCAGGGGUUGAGCAAUCCCCUGACAAUUCAGGAACUAAGAGCCUUAGUGGCUCAAAACAGGCCCAGUUUAAUGUUCCUAAUGGAGACGAAGAACAAAGAAUAGCUGGUUGUGAGGUUAAAGAAGAACUUCAAGUUUCAGAACCACUUUGUGGUGGACCCAAUUGGAACUGCAGGCGGGCUAGCUUUAAUGUGGAACGCUGAAAUUCAGGUAUCAAUUGAAUCAUACUCUGCUGAUUUUAUAAAUGCGACUUGCAAAUGGGAAUGAAAUAGAAUAGUGAUGCGAAGUACUUUUGUGCAUGCCCCUUAUACUUUCCAAAAAAGGGUGUUGUUAUGGGAGGAAUUGAAAUAUAUUAAGCCCCACAAUUCUCUACCAUGGAUUUGUAUUGGUGAUUUUAAUGAAAUUCUAUAUCACUGGGAGAAAGUAGGAGGAAGAUUAGCUGAGUAUCACAGAAUGGCAGCAUUUAGACAAAUUGUAAAUGAGUUUCCUUUUAUGGAAUUAGAAGGCAAAGGCUGUGCGUUUACAUGGGCAAACAACCGGGGUGGAGAUGAAUUUAUAAAAGAAAAACUUGACAAGGUCCUAUGUACCAUUGAAUGGAGGGUUUCCUUCCCAGAAGCUCUAGUAUUUUCCCUUCCGGCAAUAGGUUCUGAUCACUGUCCUUUAUUAGUAUCACUCAUGGCUGAAAGGAGGAAGAGAAAGAGGUACUUUAAGUUUGAAGCUUUCUGGUUGGAAGAUCAUGAAUAUGAGGAAACAGUAAAUACAGUGUUGAAUGAUCCUGGAGUGAAAAAUCUAAGCUGGGGGGCAAAGACUCAGAAAAUAAAGGCAUCCUUGGAGGUAUGGAGCAAAAAAUUUGCCAAUGCACAGACUCAAAUCAGAGACUUAAAAAGAGAACUUUAAGCCAUCACAAAUAAUCAAGAGGCUGAGCAUGAUAGAAAGAGGGUACACGAGGUAAAAGGAAAAAUAGAACUGUUAUGGAAGCAAGAAGAAAUGUUCUGGGGGAUGAGAUCGAGAGUUUCAUGGCUGAAAUGGGGGGAUAGGAACUCUAAAUAUUUUCAUGCUACCACUAUACAGCGCAGGCAAAGGAGCAGAAUAUCUAUGCUCCAAAUCUCCAGUGGAGAGUGGACACAGGAUGAAAGAAGGCUGAAAGAGGAAACUUUAGCUUUUUUCACUGAAUUGUACACCUUGGUGGGACCCCGCAAUAUCCAGCCCAUCAUUGACCAAUGCCCUAUUAUGGUGACGGAAGAGAUGAACACAGCUCUAACAACAAAAAUUAUGCUACAGGAAGUCAAAGAAGCAGUCUUCCAACUCGGUGCGUUAAAAGCCCUAGGACCAAAUGGACUAAAUGGUCAGUUUUAUCAGCAUCACUAGAAAGAUAUUCAGACAGACAUUAUGGAAAUGGUAGAAGAUUUCUUGGAGACUAAAUGCCUAAAUCCAAAUCUAAACAGAACACAUAUUGCACUUGUUCCUAAAGCCCCAAACCCAGAAAAAUUAGACCAAUUCCGACCGAUCAGCCUUUGCAACUUUUCCUAUAAAAUUAUCUCAAAAGUGUUGGCAAAUCGUCUUAAGAGAUGGCUUCCUGAGUUGAUUGAAAUAGAGUAGAGCGCUUUUGUAAGUGGAAGACAGAUACAAGACAACAUCCUCAUAGUUCAAGAAGUUCUUCACCAACUCAGAAUCAGGAAAAGAAAGAAGAAAUUCCAAGCCGUGCUCAAACUAGACAUGAAGAAGGCCUAUGACAGAGUUGAAUGGGACUUCCUUGAAGCUUGCAUGAAGAAAAUGGGUUUUAGCACUACAUGGGUAACUUGGAUCAUGCAAUGUGUCACAACUACCUCAUUCAGCGUGAAAUUAAAUGGAGACUCCUUACCUUAUUUUCAACCAGCUCGAGGUAUUAGACAAGGAGACCCUCUAUCCCCUUACUUGUUUAUAAAGAUUAGAAGGUAUUAAGUUGAACAGCCACUGCCCCACACUAUCGGACUUACUGUUCGCAGAUGAUUCUAUUUUCUUUUUAGAUGGCAAGAUUAGUGAGCGCCAAAAUCUAGCUGAGGUGCUGAAUCAAUAUUGUGUAGCUACUGGGCAACUAGUGAAUUUGAACAAAUCAGGGAUCCUUUUUAAUGUAGGCUAUCCCUAGAGCUUAAGGAGGAAUAUGGCAAGGGAGCUAUGAGUCCCAGAAAUCGACAAAACAGGGAAAUAUUUGGGUAUCCCCUCUAAUUGGGAUAGUUCAAAAAAACAGAUGUUUGCAUGGAUUUUGGCACGGGUAAAUAUGAAGCUGGAAGGAUGGAAGGAAAACUUAUUGCCUAAAGCAAGAAAGGAAGUCCUUUUGAAAGCAGUAGUUCAGGCUAUCCCACAAUAUGCAAUGUCGAUAUUCAAAAUCCCAGUAUUCAUUUGCAAAGCAAUAGAACAAAAGAUAGCCUCCUUUUGGUGGAAAAAAAAUGAAAGAAAAGCUGGAAUUCAUUGGAAAACUUAGCAUCUAAUGAAAAUGAGGAAACAUCAUGGCGGUAUGGGUUUCAGAGAUCUCAUUACAUUCAACAAAGCCAUGCUAGGAAAAUAGGCAUGGUGUCUAGCGGAAAACUCUCCCACACUAUGGAUCCAACUUUUGAAAGGCUUAUAUUUUCCUAAUACAGAUUUCUGGCAUGCAAAACAGGGUCAAAGAGCUUCAUGGGGAUGAAAAAGUCUCCUAAUUGGGAGGGAAGCUAUCUCAGAAUCGUCCCAAUGGUCUGUGGGUGAUGGACAAUCAGUCAGAAUACGGCAGGAUAAAUGGCUAAAGUGGGGUAUACUAAUCGGACCUGCUAAUAGAGAAGACCCUGAGUGAGUUAACGAGUUGAUUGACAGGCAGACUGGCUCAUGGAAAUAGGAUAUAGUACAAAACACCUUCGAAGACAGCAUUGCAGAUGAAAUACUGGCCAUUCUCAUCCCAGCUACAAGUGUAAAAGACAAACUAGUAUGGAAUGCAACAACAUCAGGCAACUACACAAUCAAAAGUGGGUAUAAUCAACUAAGGAGAGCAAAGAUAAAUUUAGCACAUAAUGAAGCAUCGACUUCAUACCAGAAGCCAAGAGAACUAUGGUGCAAAAUCUGAAAUUUGCGGACUAUCCCGAAAAUAAAAGUUUUUAUGUGGACCCUUUGUCAAAAUGCACUCCCUACGUCAGAAAACUUAAGUAGAAGGAAAAUCGCACCUGAAUCAACCUACCAGCUCUGUAAAAAGAACCCCGAAACAGAGGAACAUCUGUUUUUGCUCUACCUCUGGGCAACCAAGAUUUGGUCAGACCCACGCAUCAGUAUACCAGUUCAAAGAAAGGGACUAACAAGCAUAGAUCAAUGGAUCCUUCACUAUAAGCGAGCCUUACCAGAAGCACCACCCCUCGAGCAAGUUGCUGAACUGCUCUGGUUCAUGUGGAAAGCAAGAAACGAGGCCAUUUUCAUAGGGAAAUUGCUGGAUCCGCAGGGAGUUAUCUCGGAAGCCCUCGCAAAACAUGAAGAAUUCAAAAUCUGGAACUCAAAACAGGAUGUGCAUGAGGAGAGAGACCGUACUUGCGCGACGAACUGGAACCCCCCUGCACCGAAAUCGCUGAAAAUCAACGUCGAUGGAGGUCUCCGAGUAGGCGAAACCAGAGGAUUGAUUGCUGGUGUAUGCAGGGACACGGAUGGUGUUCUUCUCGGAGGGUUUGCACGCCAAGUUAGAGUGCAAUCUGCACUCCAAGCCGAAACCCUAGCUCUGCUUGAGGGGAUGAAGCUUGCGCACGAAUGGGAGAAGGGAAAAGGCAAAAAUGAAAGUACAAUUGUUGAAUCUGACUCCUCUGUUGCAGUUCACGCUUUGUUGGGGGAAGGACAAGUACCGUGGGACAUUGCAGCACAAAUCGAAAUGGGCCGGGCUUCUCUGUCUUCUUCGCCUCACAUAAAAAUUACCCAUUGCUUUAGGGAACAAAACAAAAUUGCUGAUUAGGUUGUUAAAGCCCAGCUUAGCCAUCGCCUCCCGAACAAUUGGGUUUCGAGUCCACCGCAACCAUUGUUUGAUUUUCUUUGUUCUGAAGCCCAGAUGAGUUCAUGUUCUAUGUUCUCUACUUAAGUUGAAAUGAAAUGCAGCUUUUUUGACCAAAAAAAAAAAAAACCUCGAGUCAACCUAGGUUAAAAAGCAAGGUGCCGCAAAAUAGGAUCCAAAACUCGUGCAGUGUGCAACCUGCAAUCCCUCCAGCAACUGAUGGUACUCUUGGCUGAUUUCACGAACUCUAAUGGUCGAUAUCCUCAGGGACUUAAAACUUCGUAUAGGGCAAUCAUUCAUAUGUACUUCUGAACAACAAUAAUUUGUCCUUUUCUAACUCUCCUUACUCAUGAACAUCAUCGCAACUUGAAGCCACCUUGCAUCUUACAGUCCACAAUUCCUUGCUCACUUUUGUCAACCUUCCACUACAUUACCUGUUGUUGCAACUCAAAUUGCGAUGGGAGAACCUUAUUCCCAGUCUUCAAAACCGUGUCACCUGAUUCAACCAAACGAAGGUGCAAAGUUAUCGCCCGUGUAGACGCGCUGCAAUUAUAAUAUUUGGGUGGUGGGACCCAAAAAGAGAAAAAGAAAAUAAGGUUGAAAAGUCAAAAGAAGAAAAAGCCAAAGAAGGGGACGCACGGUUCUUAAGUAGACCGAGAGCACAUGCCAAAAAAUAAAAUAAAAAAGAGGGAAAGAGAGGAAAGAAAAGAGGGGAAGGAGGAAAGAAAGAAGAACAAAGGAAAAAAGAGAGGGCUUUGUGCCAUAGAGACCUCGUCAAGCUAAUUCAACUCUAAUAUUUCAUGCUCGCAUCCCUCGUUCUUCCAAUCAUAUUAGUUUUCAAGAUUAAGGCUUAAAUUCAAAAUUAUGUGAUAUUCAAGUCAUGAAGUCCGACUUUUAAGUUAUUGAGCUAUAGAAUUUCUUGAAAAUGAUAGUUUAAGGCGUUAUGAAGCCAUAGGGUUUGUCAAGAGUCAUUUUUUAGUAACAAUUUGGUCAGAGGAAAAUUUUAGGGUUUCGUGUUCAAGUUCCGCAUUGCAUUUAAAUUUGAAUAAUUGCUUCGAGUGAGCCAUUUAUUAGUGCGUAAAAGUAUUUUUGUUAACGUUUAAGUAUAAUUGAGAUAGAGUUUUAUUUUGAUUUAAUGUCAACUCUCAUUUAAUUGUUAAGAUUAUGAGAUCUUCAAUUCGUGUAGCUAUGCGUUAUUUGGUUUGGGAUUCUUAAGUGAGUGAUACUAUCUCUUCCAUGAAUUUCUAAACUCAUUUAUUGAAAGCAACACAAAUUUGAUAUAUUAUAACUUAUGAAUAAGCAUGUUUGUUGCAUAAAAUCUGGAUAAGGUGUUUAGUACAAUUUAGUACUUGUAAAUGGUUUGCAAAUGUUUUGGAAAGUUGUCGCAAAAGAUUAUAUGUAUAUAUGUUGAUUCAUGAACUUAAUUUAUGAAAUGGAUUCUAAAAUGGUUUGGGAAACAUAUUGUGAUUUAUGAAAUGGUUUUUGAAUUUGGCUUUGUGGAUUGUGAAAGAUGUCAUGAACUUAAUUUAUUUGGUUUGCCUCAUUAGAUAUUUGAGCAGGAGUUUGAUCAAUAGAUGAACCAUUGACAUGUGAUUUUGUUGAAAUUGAUUAAUGGACUUAACCAUCAAUGUUUGUCAUAAUAUUAUUGAUUUAAUGAUUGUAUUCUAAUAUGUUUAUAGUUAUGUUAAAGCAAUAUAACUCAUUUUUAUCUUAUAUAUGUAUUAUGUACUUAAAACUGAUAUAUAUGAUUUAUGAUAUUGUUUUGUAAAGUGCAUAGUGGAUGCUUAAUUUGCUUAGAAGAGUUGCACCACUCACCAGGCUGUGAUUGUUUAUUCCAUUUAUCUUUUGUGCUUUUUAGGAUCCUUGGUUAAUGGCUGUCAGAGGUAGAGCAAUAUCAACAAUUGGACUUUUAGGAGUGGGAUUUUAGUGGUUUAAAGUUGCAUCUUUUGAGUGGAAGAAAGGCCAUGUCAUUAUCUCUAUCCCUAUAGAAUUAGGAGUGCAUUAACAACAGGGCAAUUCAGUACAAUUUAUGUUUCCUAUUCGCCAUUUAAAAAACUCUCAAAUCUAGUAAACACAUGAGGACUUUAAUGCAAUCCAAACGUCUGUUCGAAACAUAAUCAAGCACUCCCGAUCGUCUGUUGCUAACAAAAUCGUGGGAUGGCUUCACCUCGAAUCUAUUCUCGAUAGUCUCUAAAGUCUUAAGUUUGUCCCCUGAUAUUGCCUUCAAUUGAACAUGAACAUAUUCAAGAUGAAAACACAAUAGUCUCUCACUCCAACGAAUUUACACAGAUAGUUCAAAAGCCAUGUGCUCGCUUGGAUUGGUAUGGAUUAAUAGGAUGUCCCAAGCCUUAAGAUGACAUCAUUGACUGCGUUGAUGACCAUUGACUUGAUCACAUCACAUAGAUGUCUAUUCAUGUGAUUUGGGAAAAAUUGUUAGAAAAGUCUUAAAUCUAUUGCAUUUAUAUCAAUUUAAUCAUAAACAUUUUGACCUAAUGAUAAUUCAGUCCUUCAAGCUAAUUUGGCAAAUAUUGUCGACAUGAAUGCCAACUGGCCUUCUGGCACUAUUGGCACUAGCGUGAACAAUUUUUAAUAUUAUAUUUUAUUAUUUAGAAAAAAAAAUUAUAUUUUUUUUCUUUCCUUUUUUUUUUUUUUUUUUGGUCUUUCUUCUUCCUUAUGUCGAUCCAUGGCAUGGCGAGUUGGCCUCACCUAGGCAAGGGUUGUCGUCACCUGCCACAAGUGAGGCCUGACAGGGCAAAGGUCGACCUCACGAUGACCUCGGCGAGGGCUGCAGUUGAAAAUCUAACGAGGUCCCCUUAGCCUAGGCAAAAGUUGACCUCACCAGAUUUGGCAAGGGGCACCCUACCUAGUCGCCCCUUGCCUGUGGUGGGUGACAACAACCUUGCAUAAGUGAGGCCAACUUGGUCAUGGUUGUUAACCAGCCAUCAGCUAUAGGCAAUGGCCAAUCAUUGACAAAUAGAAGAAGAAAGGGAAAAAAAUUCAAAAUAAUAAUAAUAAUAAUAAUGUAAAAAUAUAUAUUAAAAUAUUAUUAAAAAUUGUCAACAUCAAAGCCAGCAAUAUCACAUUAGUAAUAUCUUGCCAAAAUUAGCUAGAAGGACCGAAUCGGCAUUAGGUCACAACGUUUAGAACUAAAUCGGCACAAUUAAAGGUUUAGGACUAAAUUAAUUUUUAGGACUUUUUUGACACUCUUCCCCAUCAUUUUCCAUCUCAUUUUGUUGUUCCUCAAACAACCUCUCCUUGGUAGCCACCAAAGUAGGAUUUGAUACCAACUCCGUCACCUACACUUCUUUAAGGCGUCUCAAGAUGUUAACUUUCCCAGUGGCCACCCUUCCAACAUGGAAGAAGGAGGUGGAGCGUUCGAAUCCCCACCUUCUAGGGGGGUUGGGGUAGGAACAAUUUAGUUUCAAGUGUGGGCUUCAGGUCCAAUGCCAUGCAUGGAGGCAUAACAAAAGUCUGAGAGUGAGAGUUAGAAUAAGAGUAGAGUAAGACUAACAAAAAAAAGAAGAAGAAGAAGAAGAAAAGAUGUUAACUUUCCCUACUUGGAUUGUCUCUAGCACUACAAGAGCAGCUAAGGUCUCGGCCUAGGUGGCCCUUUCAAUGGGAUUAAUACUCGCGGCUUAAUCAGGCUUCGAGUGAUUUUUUGUUCUCGACAUUUUUAAUCCUCUUAUUAAACCACAAAUAGUCUCAUCGAGCAUGCCAAAAGGAUGUUUCACCAUAAUUGAAUCAACAACGAAAUACUUUUUACUAGGAUUAGUUCUUAAUUUUAUUAUGAGCAUACGUUUUGUAACACUUCUGAACAAGAGUCUUAUCAAUGGAGUACAAGGAAACAAAUAGAUAAGCUUUGACGGAAUCUAAUCAACAUUGUGAUAAACAAAACUUUGCCAGAUUUUUUCCUACGACAAAGUCGAUUGAAGAUACAACUUUAUUUGACAAUGGAGACUCGAAAGGUAGUACUGACAUACAUGCCAAAAUUUAAUCGAUAACGAGAUAUCUGAAAACUACAACUAGGAUAAAGAGAAUGAAAGAUAAUUAAAAUAUAACAAGUUUCAUUUGUUUUGUGACAAAGAGUACACGUGCUAUUUAAAGCUUACAACAGACAAUUACAAAUGGAGGUUACAUAUACUAUUUGAUAGUUACAUCGAUUCCAUUACUAGACGGUUCAUUGAAUUUAUGGCUUUGAUAGUUAGUUCAUUUCAUUGCGUUGACACUUAGGCCCUGUUUGUUAACGUUCUUUUUUUCUCUUUAUGAACAAAAAUCCUGUUUUUUUGUUCCAGGAAACAAAAAAAGAACAGAAACGCGUUUGUUUGCGUUUUUGUUCCAAAUCUAUUUUUUUAUUCCCAAGAACACAUUUGGAACAGAAACGAGAAACAAGAAAAACAUGGCCGGCCUCGCCCAGAUCCAGCUCGCCCGAGCUCGCCCAACCACCAACGAGGCUUGCGGCCUGACAGUGGCCCGGCGAGGCCGAGCCUCGCUGACGCGGGGCAAGGCUAGGCGAGCUCGGGGUCGCCAGAUCUGGGUGAGGCUCGGCCCAACCACGGCAAGGCUCGGCCUCGCUGGGGGCGGUGAGCCUCACCAUGGCUGGGCAAGGCAGUCGGCCCUCGUUGGCCGGUCGUCGGCCAUGGCCGAGGCCGGCGACCGGCCAAAGAAGAAAAUAAGAAAUAAGAAAUAAGAAAUAAAUAAAAAAAAAGAACACAAAUUUAUCAAAGGUGUUUUUAUUCAUUUUUUAUUCCCAAAACAAAUUUACCAAACGCAUUCUUCUGUUCAAAAAUUAUUCCCCGGAACAGAAAUAGUUUUUUCUAUUUCUGUUCCCUAGAACAAUUUUUGAACAGAAACAUUACCAAACGCGCCCUUAAUUUCCUGACAGGUGUAUCCACAAUCAUCGACUCCACUAUUAGUCGAUAUCUUCAAGUUGUCAAUUUGUUGCUGCUCUUCUAGCCAAACUAUCUUUAUUGACAAAGUUUGUCACUUAUCGAUAAUUACUUAAAAUUGGUCAAAAAAAUAUAUAUAUUUUUUGGGUAUAAAUAGCUCUUGAGGGAUUUGUGGAACCUUUAGGUCCUUACGUCACCUCGACUAAUGACAUCCACCGACAUUAGAUGGCGGAAAAGCAGCGAAAGCUCAUAAACAAAGGAUUUAGCUGGCAAUGAAGAGACGAUAGAGCCCAUCUCUAUUUGGGUGGGUGUGUGUGGAAGCUUCGUAUCGUCUGAAAAUGCAAAACCGCGUUGCCUCAUAAUUUCUACGCAUGAUGGGGGUCGGGAGUGUCCUCUUCUUUUGGAAACUUCUUUUUUACAUCUGAAGCCAACUGUCCUCAGCUGAGUUUUAGCGUUUGAUGUUGACUCCAUACAUCCCCUUCUCUCACACGCUUUUGCUUUACCCCUUCUCCAUCUUUGGCAAAAAAGCUAUAAGUACCAUCUGCACAUCUCUCCCAUUUCAUCAAGCAACACAAACACCCACAGCUCUUCCUCUCUCUCCCUCAGUGUCUCCUCUUCAGUCCUCACUCUCAUAUCAUCUCAUUGGCAUUUGCAUCUCUUCAGCAACUACAGCCGCAGCAGCAGCAGCAAAAAACAAAACACGCCCCAUAUGGCCUCUCGUUCCACUUCUUCGCUUUGUACCACCGCGCUUCUUCUCCUGGUCGUUUCUUGGGCAGCAUCCGCUUUUGCCCGCAACUUCUACCAAGACUUCGACAUAACCUGGGGAGAUGGCCGAGCUCAGAUCCUCAAUAGUGGCGACCUCCUCACUCUUUCCCUCGACAAGGCCUCCGGCUCCGGCUUCCAGUCCAAGAACGAGUACCUGUUUGGCAAGAUUGACAUGCAACUCAAGCUCGUUCCCGGCAACUCCGCAGGCACCGUCACCGCUUACUAUGUAAGUCUCCAUCUUAAUCAGUUGGUGCCCCUUUAUCUUCAAGCUUCCUUCUUUUUAUCUCGAUCAGAUUUUAACUUUUACUAUGUUGUUAUUCUACAGUUAUCUUCAAACGGGUCGACGUGGGACGAGAUAGACUUCGAGUUCUUGGGGAACUUGAGCGGCGAUCCAUACAUUCUCCACACCAACGUCUUCAGCCAAGGCAAGGGUAACCGAGAGCAGCAAUUCUAUCUCUGGUUCGACCCAACUGCUGAUUUCCACACCUACUCCAUCCUCUGGAAUCCACAACGCAUCAUGUAAGAGUCUGAAAAGCUCAAAAUGCGACCUUACUUGCAUUUACAUUGCGCUACACUAUUCUCUGCGGCAUUUACUCAAAUACCUUUGUGCGCGACCAUUGCAGAUUCUCAGUGGACGGGACUCCCAUCAGAGAGUUCAAGAACGCAGAGUCCAUCGGCGUUCCCUUCCCCAAGGCCCAGCCCAUGAGGAUAUUCUCGAGCCUCUGGAACGCGGACGACUGGGCAACCAGAGGCGGGCUCGUAAAGACAGACUGGACACAAGCGCCCUUCACUGCUUCCUACAGGAACUUCAAUGCUGAUAACGCCUGCGUUUCGUCAUCUGGGUCCUCAUCUUGCACUUCGUCUUCAUCUUCUUCGGAUGGUAAUGCAUGGCUAUCGGAAGAGCUCGACUCAACAAGCCAAGAGAGGCUGAAGUGGGUUCAGAGCAACUACAUGAUCUACAACUACUGUACAGAUGCCAAAAGAUUCCCCCAAGGCGUCCCUCCUGAGUGCACCAUGUCCUAGACGACACAAGACAUAGGAUUUGUAGAAAAUUCUUCGUUUUUUUUUUUUUUUUCCGCUUUGUGAGCCAACUCUAUUCAUUAGUUAAUCUCCCUCUCGAUGUGCUCGAGAAAGAAUUGAUAAUCUUUUAUUCUUUGACAUUGUAUAACAGUCUUGUCUUUACUCAAUAAAACAGAAACUCAUCUUGGAUUUCAUAGCAGUGCUGCGAUUCAGUAAGUGGAUACUACACAGAGCAACAUUAAUUGAAAGAGAAUGGAUUAUACAGGCUAGCUCCUGCCUUGAACAUGAACAGAUGACAGAAUUGACUACGCUGUUGUAACUCUAAAAAUUUGAUAAGCGCUACAUUAAGUGAGUCUUGUUUUUACGCUGAAUCCAACUCCAAUAUCCUCAUCGAGGGACUGAUUUAGCCUCCGUGUCUUACUGGUCCUUGUGUUUCACGGAAGUACCAAAAAUAGACAACCGAUCAUCACCAUACAAUCAUGACCAGAUGAGCUCUCCAACUCUGCGAACUCAAUGAACAUCCUUGUCUCCAACAUAGAAUUAACCGCAAUUUAUGGCUGAUCAACCUCAAGUCAACCAAACUUUAAGAACAUGGUGCCGCAAACUAGGAUCCAAAAUUGUGCAGCGUGCAACCUGCGAUCCCUCCCACGACUGAUGGUACUCUUGGCUGAAUUCACGAACUCUAAUGUUAAAUAGCUUCAGGAACAUAAAAUUCAACUAUAGCAGACAUUCGUGUGUACUUUAUACCUACAUAGUUUGUCCUUCUCAAACUCACCUGACUCAGAACAAAAUCGCAACUUGAAGCCCCAUUGCAUUUUACAGCCCACGAUUCCUUGCUCUUUUAUCAACCUUCCACUACAUUACCAGUUACAACUCAAAUAGCGAUGUGAGACGGGCUACAGUAGAGGAAAUUCAGAACGACUUCUGUUUCCUAUUUUUCCAUUUAAGCAACUUUCGUAUCUAGUAAACACAUGAGGACUUUAUUACAAUUCAAACCUCUGUUCGACUCUUAGCCAACCACUCCUGAUCAUCUGUUGCUGACAAAAUCAUGUGGGACAGCUUCACCUAGAAUCUGUUCCCGAUAAUCCCUUAGAGUCCUAAGUUUGUCCCCCAAUACAAAAUGCGUAACCAAGGAAGCUUCGUUAUAAUGCUACUGCAAAUUCGAGACAUCAAAGCAUAUAAGAAAAACCUGAAUAUUUUCUUCUUCCAACUAAACAAAAUCCAUUUCCAUCUUCUUUUCCCAGCCAAAAGAUUGCACCGAUCAUCAAUAAGGGAAAACCCAUUGUACUUAUCCUAAUAUACCAUCCUUGCAAAUCAUCAAUAUGCUGAGUUUCUAAGAAAAAGUAAUAAAAAUCGAAUCUUUUACAUCAGAAAGAAAGAUAAGCCGAACAAAGAGACAGAACACGGAUAGAUUAAAGGAAAUAAAAAUCGUACAGAGGGAAAGAUAAGAAAGGACCUGAAACGGAGGAUUUCGGGUGCCUCUGCGGGAAUUUACUGUGAGGAAUUCUCUUCAUUAUCUCAACUUGCAAUGUUCGUCAACAAAGUUUGAUUGAACUGAAGUGAACCGUGAGGAAUAGGUGACAAAUAUAGAGUUAAACCAAAGGGAAGUUGACAAAAUUUGAUCGCCCAGAGCCAUUGCAAAUUUUGCCCAAAAGUCAGGCGGUGAUGUUUUCUUCUUCCAAUGUUUACUUUCCGCUUUCUGUUUUCAUUUUGCAUGAAUUUUUUAGUUUUUUAGAUGGUGCUCACGUCCUAUAACAUCUCUGCUUAAGAUACUUCAAGAUGAUUGUGAAUGUGACAAAGUUUUAUCUUCUCCUAUAUCUUUCUUUAAUCGAUAAAAUUGAAUUGUAUUUGAUUUUGGACAAUCCAUUCACUAGAUCUCCAUGUACGAAAAUAGCGUGGGAAGAAUGCACAUAAGACAAGGCCCCUCCGAGGAGGAGGGCCAAGCAAAGGGAACGAUGGGUAGGAGAGAUGGAGAUUCGGGCUUUCAAGGGACUUGUGAUCUUUAAAAUCCCAAUGACAUUCUAGUUAACUCAUUUGAGAUAUUGUUCACUUUGACUCGUUUUAUUUUGAAGCUCACAACUUUUGUCUUUUAGGGUAGAAGUACUUUCUCAAGUGACCACCGUUCUAGUAGUGCCCUAGUCUAAGCAUGAUUAACUUUGGAGUUCCAUAUACCUUGAUUAACUCACUUGAGAAAUUAUCCAAUUUGGCCCACCCAACCUAAAGCCCCAUGGCUUUGACCUUGUACAAGCAAAAACACUUGUUCAAUAUGUCGUCCAUUCUAAUAGUGCAUUAGCCUAAGCACGCUCAACUUUGGAGUUUCAAAGUAAAACUUGUCAUUAUCGUCACACCUCUAACUUGACAAGAAUAAGGACAACGAAAUAGUCAUCUUUUUUUCCUCAAGAACGCAACUUCAAACGUAACCAACAUUAACCUAUCAUUCGAAAAAUACAUAUCCAAUCAAAAAUCUGAUGGAAUAGAAUAUUAGUUAUAAAUCAAAUUUCUAAAAUCCAUUAACACUAUAUAUAUUUUUCCCAAAUUAAGAAACUAAUCUUCAACAUAUACCAUUUCAGAUAUAUCCAACUAUCUAUAUCUAUCCACAAUUCAGCUAUCAAGAGUUCCCCAUUAAUAUUGCUCCCGUACUACUCGUCGCUAACCGGAAAGAUUUGGGAGGAAAUGGGUAAACAAAAACAGCUCACUGAGUAAUGCAUAUCUCAAGCAUUCAUUAUGAACUUUUACAAAACUAUAACAAAACUCAUUAAUCCAAAAUCCAAUUGAUAUUAUACGUACAAUUUCAAAUAUAUGUUAUUUGGUUUCAGCAAAUAUUCAUACGCAUACGAUCAAAAUGAAUAAUGAAAUGUGUGUCACGUGAAUAGCAAAAUACUGAAAUAUCCAUUACUUUUAAAUACCAUAAUUCAUACACGUACAAUACGAAAAGCAAUUAUACCUUUCUGCAAAACUUCAUAAAUAUCGAAAAUCAUCUAAAUCAACAAUAUUGAUUUAUAUAUUAAUAGUCUAUUGUAUUUAUUAAUCUCAUAUCAAAUCAAAUAACGAUGGUCCAUUUCAUCGAUUAAUCUCAAAUCACAUGUCAAUGGCCCAUUCCAUUGAUCAAACUUGUGCUCAAAUUUCUACCUAUGAUCACAUAUAAUGCCUCAUGACAAGGCAAUUAAGAUUCUCAUUGGCAAGUUCUUCACGGCCUAGAAGGAUAUCCUAAAAUUAGUAUGCAUGCCCAGAAACCCCUAAUCAAGUUCACAGCAAUAUUAAGUACCAAAUUGUCAUCCUUUAUUACCAAAAUCAACAGCCAAAAUCCAUCUCAUAAAUCGGUUUCACAAAUCAAAUCAAAUCAACAUUUACAACUCAAUUUAUCAAAUAUAAUGCAUUUCAUAAAGUAUUUAACUAAUAAAUACAUACAAUCACUCUCAAUUCUGUUCAUCAAACAUAAUAUAUAUAUUUCUCAAAACAUUUCUCACACCAUUUUGGAAUUUAGUUCAUAAACCAAGUUCACAAAUAUAUAUAUAUAAUUUUCACAACACAUUUCCUAAUAUAUUUCACAAACUAUUCUUAAAUAUCAAAAGGUAGUAAAUGCCCUAUCUAGAUUUUGUGUAACAGACAUGCUUUAAUAAGUCAUACGAUACUCAAAUCAAUAUCACUUUCAAAACAUGAGUUUUCAAACUUAUUGAAGAGAUAGCAUCAUUCACUUGGGAAUGCCCACGACAUAAUUAUAUGCGCCAACAAUCUCGUAAUCAUAAUAAUUAAAUGAGAAUUGAUGUCAAAAUCAAGUAAAAUACUACAAUUACGAAUCAAUUAAACUACACUUCAAUGCUAACAACAACAUUCUUACACAUCAACAAAUCGCACAUCCAAAUAAUUAUUUAAGCAGUUCACAACACAAAACUCACACGCGAAACUAUAAAAUUUUGCUCCGACGUAACAAUUACUCCAAAAUGACUCUUAUCAAAACCCCUUGACUCCACAACAUCAUAACCCACCAUAUCUAUGAAAUCACCAAGUUCAAUAACUUAAAAAUUGGACUUUGCAGCUCAAAUUUCACGUAACUUUAAAUUUGUGCCCUAAUUUUAAAACCUACUUCAAUUAGACGAAUGAAAUGUACGACCACUUACCGAGCAUUGCAAAUUGGACUAAAUCCGACUUGGUGAGAUCCCCGCAACAUGUAUGCGUGAGUUUCGUCUCUCUUCCUUCUUUAUUUUCUUUUUUUUUUCCUUUACCUCUCUUUCCCUUUUCUACGUGAGCUCUCAGUCCCCAUACAGCUGAGUCCAUUCUUUUUCCUCUUCUUUUUUUGACCACUUUUCUUUUUUACUUUUUGACAUUUGACUGACUCAAACUCCAAAUAUUACAGUUACGUCAAAAAAAGCCUCCGUGAAUUAAUUUAGAGCUGCCACAAUAUAAUAUCAAAAUGGGACCCUCUCUAAUAGAUGUAUGGUUUGGGGACAAACCACAUGAUAAUUGGUAGGCUUGUAAUGAUCUAGUCCAAUAAGGGUGGCAAGUGGUGGCCUCGGCCAACAAGCUUGAAUAAGAAGCGACUCUUGACAAGCUUCUAGGAUGACAAAGGAGGUAGGAACGAAUUGAAUUGCGAAGAGGAGGAGAGUGCACCCAAGAUAUAUUUGUGAAAACUGAAAUUAACUCACAUAAACAUCUUUUGACGUAACAAUAAGUUUUACUUUGGAACUCCGAAAUAAAACCUACUCAAUUUAGAACACUUCCAAAAUGCAUGACCUCUUUGGGAAAGUUUCUUCUUGUAUAGCAAAUGACAAAACCUUGAGACUCGGAAUUGGAUGGGCCAAAAGGACAAUACCUCGAGUGAGUGAAUCAAGGAAUGGCAAUAACUUUGCGUCAAAAGACAUUAAUUCCAGAAUUUACAAAGGUAUUCCAAGCGCACUCUAGAAAUUUUAUUUAUUGAUGCCUCAUUCGUUAUCUUAAAAGUUUGCCAAGACUAGCUCUUUAUUCGAAUUGUAUGGUUCACACGAAUGCUCUCCGAUCUCCGCUAUUAUCGGACCAGGCCGUUACAACCAUGACUAUGCAAACCGGACAAGCAGCGAGAACUCAUGGUAAAGCACGUAGCUGGCGGUCAAGAGAUGAUACAUCUCGUCUAUGCGUCGGGGUGGGUGUGGGUGUGUGUAGGGAAGCUUCGUGUCGGCUCAAACCGCGUCGCCUCAGAAUUUCUUUGCACGGUGGAUGUGGGUUGGUCAUGUCACUGUUUGUCCUCUUCUUUUUAAUAGCUUUUUUCAUAUCGGAAUCCAACUGUCCACAGCUGAUUGGUGUCGAGGUUUCACUCCCACCAAUCCUUCUUUGCCUCUCUCUCACACGUUUUCUCCCUCCUCCAUCUUCGGCACGAAGCUAUAAAUACCAUCUCCACAUCUCUCCCAUUUCAUCAACCAACAGAAACACCUACAUCUCUCUCUCCUCUUCAGUCCUCACUUCUCAUAUUAUCCCAUUGAGAUUUACUUCUCUUCAGCGAGUACAGCAGCAGCAGCAGCAGCAGUAGCAGCAGACAGAACACGCCUAAUAUGGCCUCCCCUUCUGCUCCCUCACUUUGCAUCACCACAUUGCUUCUCGUGGUCGUUUCUUGGGCAACAUCUGCUUCCGCCCGCAACUUCUAUCAAGACUUCGACAUAACCUGGGGAGACGGCCGAGCUCAGAUCCUCAACAAUGGCGACCUCCUCACUCUCUCCCUCGACAAGGCCUCCGGCUCUGGCUUCCAGUCCAAGAACGAGUACUUGUUUGGCAAGAUUGACAUGCAGCUCAAGCUCGUUCCCGGCGACUCCUCUGGCACCGUCACCGCAUACUAUGUAAGUCUCCUUCUUAAUCAGUUUGUGCCCCUUUAUCUUCAAGCUUAUUUCUUUUUUUCUCGAUCAGAUUUUUAACUUUUGCCAUGUUGUUAUUCUACAGUUAUCUUCAAACGGGUCGGCGUGGGAUGAGAUAGACUUCGAGUUCUUGGGGAACUUGAGCGGUGAUCCAUACAUUCUCCACACCAACGUCUUCAGCCAAGGCAAGGGUAACCGAGAGCAGCAAUUCUAUCUCUGGUUCGACCCAACUGCUGAUUUCCACACUUACUCCAUCCUCUGGAAUCCACAACGCAUCAUGUAAGAGUCUAAAACGCUCAAAAUGCGGCCUUACUUGCUUUUAAGUUGCAGCAUUUACUUAAAACCUUUGUGGCUACCAUUGCAGAUUCUCAGUAGAUGGGACUCCGAUCAGAGAGUUCAAGAAUGCAGAGUCCAUUAGCGUUCCCUUCCCCAAGGCACAGCCCAUGAGGAUAUUCUCGAGCCUCUGGAACGCAGACGACUGGGCAACCAGAGGCGGGCUCGUAAAGACAGACUGGACACAAGCGCCCUUCACUGCUUCAUACAGGAACUUCAAUGCCGAUAACACCUGCAUUUGGUCAUCUGGGUCAUCCUCUUGCACUUCAUCUUCAUCUUCUUCGGAUGGUAAUGCAUGGCUAUCAGAAGAGCUCGACUCAACAAGCCAAGAGAGGCUGAAGUGGGUGCAAAGCAACUACAUGAUCUACAACUACUGCACGGACGCCAAAAGAUUCCCCCAAGGCCUCCCUCGUGAGUGCGCCAUGUCCUAGACGACACAAGACAUUGAUUUUGUAGAAAAUUCUCCUCGUUUUUUCCUUUUCUUGAGCCAAUUCUAUUCAUUUGUUGAUCUCUCUCUCUCUCUCUCUCUAUGGGGUCGAGAAGCAAUAGAUAUUCUUUUAUUCUUUGACAUUUGUAACAUUCCUAUCUUUACUCAAUGAAACAAAAAAUCUUCCUGGAUUUCAUAGCAUUGCUGGGAUUCUCAGUGCACAUGUUUUUACAUAACCCUGAAGUGUAGGUUCAAAGUCUCGUAAUCGAACAACAAAUACUUCGGGCAAUGCUAUUCCUCGGUCAGUCUAUAAGCUUUCUUCCAUCGCUAAUCUAGUAAUGUGACAAAACUGUCCUCGAUUGAAAAUGAACAUAUUUAAGAUGAAAAUGCACCAAUAUCUCUCACUGCAACUAAUUUGUGCAAUAACUUCAGGGAUGAAACUUUUCUUGCUCCUCGGCUAUUGCGCCGCAUGUGAUACCACUACUAAUCCAUUGCUACAACAAAGGCAUUCUACCAGUUGCAUUAGACUCAUCCAUGUUCUUUCAUGAACAGUUUGAACCACCAAGUGAUGAUUUAGGCAUAUGAACCGUACCACGAGUUGGGCGUGUAGUUACUCCAUCCUUGAAUUUAAAUGACUUGCCCGUUGAGAUGGUUGCCAGACAACUUUAAACAGUGCAACGCUUUUCUUUACAGCAGAAACUGCUGCAAAAAAAUUACAUUGAAUAGAUUCUCAUUAUUCUACAUAUAGUGAGUUGAAAGAUGAUCGACCCAACAACAAUGGUGUUAAAUCAGAAAGAAAAAAUGGCUGAACUCCAUCACAACGUCUCUCUCUCCCUCCCUCCCUCCCUCCCUCUUAGGCCACUCAUGCGAUGAAAAAUCUUAAACAAGGCGAAUCGCGUGCUCUUUACGACAUCUUGUCUCUUUCAAGAUUCAUCCAGCCUCUUUAUUUACCAAAAAAGAUUCAUCAAAACAUAGUUCGGGUUGAUUUGCAUAUGGAUACAAAGGAAAUUUACAAUCAGCUGCCCUAUCUGGUGAAAGUAUCAGUAGGCAUUUAAACAUAGAACAAGAAGGAAAAACCACUUCAUUCUCCCCCUUGAUCCCAGCUUCUCUGAGUACCAUUAGAGGCAUCCACCCAGCUGCAGAGAACAAGAAUCAUAGCAACAAGUCCUUAAUGCAAUAUAAAGUGGAAAAGUUGCAACCAGAUCUGCACUGGCAUGAGCUGAAGACAGUAUCUUUACAUGGUAAAAAAGAAGCAAAUCAGAAAGAGAUUCAUGCUCGUAGUAUGUUUCCAAUCUUUAAAGCGAUGGAUCGAUAGCUCGUAUUGCAACAAUCAGACUACAUUACCAAUACGGAUCCUUACACCCUCGCAUGCUACUGAUACCUUUGCCCAGUGAGAUCCAUUUAGAUGCAAUGAAGAAGAAUUUAACAAGAAAAGGUUCAAGUUGGACAACAAAUAAGCUCAUUGAUUCCAAAAUGCAUAUUCACUCAAAUUGUCAAGCAAUAGAGUUAAAUUUCAGUUGGCUAUUAAACCCCACUGUAAUAGGUACAGAAGUACCAAAGCUUUCUGAGCACAAUAAGAACACUCAGGCUUAAAUGAGAUGAUUCCUGUGCAUUUUCACUUACCAGAAUAGCUUCAAUUUCCUUAUCCGAGACAGGAGUACGUUUUGGCUGGAGUGAAGCUUGCCCUCCCACCGCCAUGUUGCUUGGAGGUGCUGGGACAUCCGACCUCGAAGCAGAAAUUUUUGCAACAUUUUCAGUGCUCGGAGCAGCCUGGGUCUGGGAUGCAGAUCCUUUAUGAUGCAAUAAAGUAGUUGAGUAAUCAAAAAGGCCCUUCAUAUCAUUCUUCAGAAAUAAUGUUCAUCUAGCUAAGUACAUGAAAUUUAGAAUGUUUAUGACAGAGGAAAUCCUUGGUGAGUGGAUACAAUACAGACCAAUUAUAUAGCUUCAGGGACAUAAAAUUCAAAUGUAGCAAACAUUCAUAUGUACUUUUGAAAAACAAUAGUUUGUCCUUUUCUAACUCUCCUCAGCUUGAAGCCACAAAGCAUUUUACAGUCCACAAUUCCUUGCUCACGUUUGUCAACCUUCCACAACAUUACGAGUUAGAACUCAAAUAGCGAUAAGAGAACCUCAUUCCUGCUCUUCAAAAUCUUGUCACCUGAUUCAACUGAAGGAAGGUGCAUACUUAUCACCCGCAGAAAAAGGGCCAGCAUGGAGCAAAAUUAGUUACAACUUCUGCUUUCCAUUUUCCCAUUUACGCCACUUUCAGCUCUAGCAAAACAUGAGGACCUCGUUACAAUUCAAACCUCCGUUCGAGACAUAAUCAACCACACCCGAUCAUGUGCCGCCGACAAAAUCACAGUAGACAGUUUCACCUAGAAUCUGGUCCUGAAAAACACUCAAAUCCUAAGUGCUUUUACAAAUACAAAAUCCAUAACCAAGGAAGCAUCAUCACAAUGCUGUUGCAAAUUCAAGAUAUCAGGUACACAUAUGUAUAUCUUCCAUCUAGACAGAAAUCCAUGUCAAAUUUCAGCUAAAAGAACGCACUGAUCACCAAAAUAAGAAAAACCCAUCACGCUUAUCCUCCCAAACCAUCACUUGCAAAUCAUCAACAUGCCAAAUUUCAACCGACAAAGGUGAUAAAAAUCGAAUCUUUCGAAUCAGAAAAGCCGAACAAAGAGACAGAACACCAAUAAACGGAAACCAAAGAUCGAACAGGCGGGCGGAAAGAGAAGGAAAGGGGACCUGAAGCGGAGGAUUUCGGGUGCCUCUGCGGGAAUUUGAUGCGCGGAAUUCUCUUCAUCUUCUCAAACUUGCAAUGGGUCAACAAAAUUUGAUUGAACAGAACAGACAGAACAACCGCAAAGCUCAAAAAAGGAAAAAUUGAAAGAAGAACACGAAAAGAUCGAUCGGAUUAAUGAGAGCCCAUUUGGCCCAAAGCAUAAUUUGUCCAGGCCUGGCCCAUGAUGACCCAAGAUCCACCAAUGAAAAAUAUUAUUUUGCUCCUCUCGAUAUAGAAAAUUAUUUCGCUUGCUAAAAUGUUAAGGAUCAUGAUUGAUUAUUCGAAAUGCAAGUUCUUAUACGCUUUCUAAGGGAUUGAGGUGCUCUUUGUGAUGAUCCAAGACCACCAAUAGCCUUCACCAAGGCCAAGUUUUCACUUUUUUUUUUUUUUUUCUGAAUGAGAUUAAUGCUCUCAUCGUAAAAUUGAUUUAUACAAUAGCCCCUCUACCUCUCGUACCAAAGUCACGUCUCAGAGAAUUAUGUGCGGAGGACAAAUAUUGAAGAUCACAAAGUAACAGAGAAUGUGGAAUUGGUAUGCUAAAUGACGUUGUGACACAUACAUUAUCCUUUUUAUUGAAUUUUUUAUUCAUAAAUAAUUAGAAAUUUUCUCUUUGCGAGAUUUCUUUAUUAAGACACUAAGAAUGGUACAGACAAACUUUUCUUUUUAAAAUCUUGACUUAAUCAAAUUUCCUAUUGGCAUUUAAGACUUUGAUUUUUUUUUUCUUCUUCUCUUUGAGUUUUAUCAAUUUUCCUUUUGAACUUUCGAAUUUUGUAAAAUUUUCUUUUUAACAUUUAAAAUCCUGAUGGCUUCUUGAUGAAUCCUGCUAGAUUUCAAAAGGCAUGAGACAGUUUCCAUCACCAUAAACAGGCUAGGACUCUCAUUUGACUGUGCAGUGGUUAUUUUAUUUUAAUAAUAAUGCGUGGGAACUGGGAACAUCAUCUCCUUGAAUGCUUCUAGCUUUAAAAAAAGAUUCAAAAAAAAAAAAAUUAAAAAGAAAAGCUGCCACCCUCCUUAACUGUACUGAGGUAAAGCUAGAGAGACGCCAGCAAAGCAUUUCAAAUAAUUUUCAUGGGAACUGUCACAAUCACUGUCUCUCCACUACUCAGAUGCAUCACAGAAAUAAAUAAAUAAAUAAAUAAUUGCUGUAGACCUGUGGGGUCUUCAAGUCGAUUUUGGUAAGACCUCCCCCUAAUGCUUCUUUCGUCUCUUCUGUUGGAGUUGUUUAUGGCCGCCAGCUUGCUGCUGAUAAUUUACCUGCCCGUUUGGUACCCGUUUUGGACCUAAUGACUCUGAAAAUAUCAUUAUUGUUCUCUUGAAAUUAUUAAAGCAAGCAGCAACGCGUUGCGUGCAAUGGCCCAGGGAUGAGACGAGAGACUGUCACAAGCGCCGUGUCUUAGUUAAAAGAUGAGCUUUGACAGCUAUAAGCGUACGUGAUUUUGAAAAGAAAAAGAUCGUACCUUUUGCAUGCAACAACUGUGUACAGCUGAGCUAACCUCGACCUUCCUAUGACUUUCCUUUGGCUCCGCACAGGGAAUCGACGAGCCUUCAUUCGCUCCACCCUUCCCAGUUCCCAGUAUAAAUAGCCAUUGUCCCGUUCAACUGGAUUCAUCCUCUCUUUUUCACUCAUCUCCUUCGGUCUCGUUUCAGUCGGUUCUUCUUGAGCUCUAGCCUGUUGUCAUGGCUUCUGCUGCGCUAGCAAUGAUUCUCUUCACUUCCAUUCUGCUCAAAAGUUUGAUGGUUGCAUCUGCUGGUAACUUAAACCAAGAGUUCGACAUAACGUGGGGGGAUGGCCGAGCUCAGAUACUCAACAAUGGAGACCUCCUCACUCUCUCUCUCGACAAGGCUUCAGGCUCCGGCUUCCAAUCCAAGAACGAAUAUCUCUUCGGCAAGAUCGACAUGCAACUCAAGCUAGUCCCUGGAAACUCUGCCGGCACCGUCACUGCAUACUACGUAAGUAUCCAAGCUCAAGCCUUGCCUCUAUAUGUGAAUAGCUGCUUGUGAUCUUUUUGCUGAUGUAUGUGCAUGUGCAUCGCAGCUGUCCUCAAAAGGGUCGACGUGGGACGAGAUAGACUUCGAGUUCUUGGGAAACCUGAGCGGCGAUCCGUACAUUCUUCACACCAACGUGUUCAGCCAAGGCAAGGGGAACAGGGAGCAGCAGUUCUAUCUCUGGUUCGACCCGACCGCCGAUUUCCACACCUACUCCAUCCUCUGGAACCCGCAACGCAUCAUGUAAGAAU